rnacentral:lncRNA from 1 species
GCAAGCGCACUGCCGGCGGUGGUGAACAACCACACCUCCGCCGCCCGCCAACUCCGCGGUCGUUCCGGCGGCUGGCAGAUGGCCAAGGCCACCUGGUACGGCGCGCCCUACGGCGCCGGCCCCGACGACAACGGUACGUACGUACGUAGUAGUGUGUCAGUUUCCGCCAUGCAUCGUCGUCGGUGUGCGCCGCCAAUGCUAGCUGUCGUGCUGACAUUUCGGAUUUUGCCAAUGUGCCGUGGCUGACAUUGUGCUGUCCUUGCACCGACGAUCGGUGUUUCUCUGCAGGCGGCGCGUGCGGGUUCAAGAACACCAACCAGUACCCGUUCAUGUCCAUGACGUCGUGCGGCAACCAGCCCUUGUUCCAGGACGGCCAGGGCUGCGGCGCAUGCUACCAGGUACUACUCCAAUCAACUUGCUGUUUAUAUUACCCGUCCACUUGUCCGCUUCAUUUAAUUCAAAUCGGUCAACUGUAUUAGUAGCUAGCUAGCAGAGUGUAUCUUUUUUCCCCUCGAAUCGAAGUUAAUAGCGACAAUUUUUAAUUUGGUGCGUAUGUAUCAGUGCCCACGCUAGUGGAAUUGUUGAGGUCAAACGGAAGCAUCUUUUCACGUUCUCUUACUUUUGAUCUAAAUAACAAUACAGAUCAGGUGCACCGCUAAAAACAACCCAGCCUGCUCCGGCGAGGUGAAGACGGUGAUGAUCACGGACAUGAACUACUACCCGGUGGCGAGGUACCACUUCGACCUGAGCGGCACGGCGUUCGGGUCCAUGGCGAGGCCGGGGCUCAACGACAAGCUCCGGCACGCGGGCAUCAUCGACAUCCAGUUCAGGAGGGUGGCCUGCAACAACCGGGGGCUCACCGUCAACUUCCACGUGCAGGCCGGCUCCAACCCCAACUACCUGGCGGUGCUGGUGGAGUACGCCAACAAGGCCGGCACCGUGGUGCAGAUGGACGCCAUGGAGGCCAACUCCGGCCACUGGAUGCCCAUGCGCCGCUCCUGGGGGUCCGUCUGGCGGCUCGACUCCUACCGCGCGCUCAGGGGCCCCUUCUCCAUGCGCAUCCGCAGCGAGAACGGCAGGACGCUGGUGGCCAACAAUGUCAUCCCGGCAAACUGGAGGGCCAACACCGACUACCGCUCCUACGUCCAGUUCACUUAAGCGACCACAUAAUUAUUAACCCAUCAUCAUCACUGGUAUAUAUGAUUAAUCAUAUACAAGGUGGUGCUAAGGUUGGUUAUUUAUUUGGGAGUAGUAGAGUGUAUUGUGUGAUUAUUGCAAAUUCUUUUUGGUUUUUGCAAUGGGUUCGGCGAGUUUUUCCGUGUUGUCAUUGUGUGUAUCUGAGGCGCGUCGGAAAUGGAGGAGGCAAAGUGUUAUACAUACAUGUUGUCUCCCGCCUACCGUCCAAACUCCAAUGUUUGUACAACAAGUAGGUACGGUGCAUACAAUGUGUGACCAAAUCAGGGGGGCUAUGUAUGCAUCAAGUCAUGGUCAGCAAAUACAUUUCUGAUUAUUCCAGUAUAUGUGUAUUUUUUUUAAAAAAAAAAUCCAAGGCCAUUACGUCGUCCCAGCUUAUAUUGAAAACUUAUAUGAGUGUACGAUGACUGGGUAUACCAGUUUGACGAUAAUGAUACAUCAAGCGCAGCUAAACGUGUGGAAACAUCAAUUCUACCUCUACUCAACAAUAAUAAAACAUCUAGAGGCCACCCAUUGCAACAAAAAAAUAAAAGGCUAAACUCAGAUGAGAUAAAAGGUUAUCCCCCACCCCCAGGUUUUAAACCAAUAAAAAACUUGACGCAUUUAGAUUUCCUUCACCUCAUCAACAACUCGCAUUACGAAUUUAGGAUCUCCUCCACCAGUGCAGCUUUUUUUAUCCUUCAAGGCCACCCUACAUUGAUUGAUCAUCAUCUUGCCCUGAAAUCGCCUCCCUGGGUACUUGAGCAGCUUGUCCUCCAAAGGUCACAUCGUUCCUCAUCUUCGAGAGCGCCCAUAUCAUACCUCCACAACAAAUAAAGUAAUUUUCCAUUAAGGAUUUCCGUUUUAGAGUCGGUUCCGUUAAGAAAACCACAUCUAAAUAUGUUAUUUUCAAGGACUGUUGGUUAUGUCAACUGUCCCUAGCUAAAAAUGAGUAAUUUUUAGAGGCGGUUCUUUUAAGACAACUACAACUAAAAAUCAAUUUUCAAAGACAGUUAACUAAGUCAACCAUCCUUAAAAAUAGCAGCCGCACAAAUAAAUUCAUAUCUUUUUAAAAUGAAGUCAAAUGAAUACAAAAUUUAUAUCAAAAUUAUAGAGCUUGACGAGAUCUAAAACUUUGUAGACGAUAAAAUUUUUGUUUCAGAGCACUUAUGGUUCCAAAAUUUUAAAUUAAGUCUCAGAGUUUUUCAUUUUAAUUUUUAAAAUGUUUCAAACGACCUUGGAUGGGGAAAUGUCCUAUAUGAAACUCUCAAUGAGAUUUUUAAAACUUUAUAGUUGAAAAUUUUCCCAUUUAAGGUUGUUUAAUAGCCUAAAUAUUGAUUACAAGAUCCAUACGUAUUAGUACAAAUGGAUAGCAAUGUAUAUCUCGACAUAAGUGACUAUGAAUGAACCAUGUAAGGUUACGAGUUUAAAUCCUAAUUCUUGCACUAUAUCAUAAGAUGGUGAAAAUCAAAUUCAAUAAGUGGUUGGUUGGUCUUCUUGGCCUUUAGCCACACUAAAUAUUUUUUCUUAUUUUUAUUAUACUCUAAAUGGUUUUAAAAAUUCUAAAAAUUAGUUUUAGGGAUGGUUGAGUUAAGUCAACCAUCUCUGAAAAUUGAUUUUUAGGAGUGUUUGUCUUAAGAGAACCGUCUCUCAAAAUCACUUAUUUUUACAAUUGGUGGCAUUGUACGGUUUUUAAACCGCUUCUGAAAAUCGAUUUUAACUACCUCUAAAAGUCUUUUUUUACUAGUGAUUAUUACUCUCUAUACAAUCCGGUAGACCAUGCUAGUAUUGUGAUCCGCUUCUAGAUUUGACUUGGAAGGUAUUAUUUCCUAGGUAUUCAUUCCUUAGCUAAUUGCAUAUACAUGGUUAUUCUCUCCUCUUUCCAAUCUAUCAAUCCAUUUGAAGAGAAGACAAAUAUUCAUCUCCCUCACAUCUAUGAAACUAGUCCUACAAAAUCAUUUGGUUUAUCCAAUGCAUCCCACUUAACCAUAUGGUACUUCUUUUUUCCCAUAUCAUUGCCAAAAGAACUGAGAUCUAGCUGAAUGUAAUUGUUGAUAUGGCCCCCUUCAUACAAUUGAUACACACCCAUUGCAUACAUAGACACACUUGACGGGUAUGAUUCAAUUAGUAUCGUCUUCUCUCUUGAAGAUAGAGUGUCGCCUUUCCAGGUUCCCAACAUUUUAAAGAUUUGCUCAUUUACACAAUUUAAUUGGGCCUUAGUAAGUUUAACACAUUGCUCAUUUGGAGCCCCAAGUAUUUGAUAGGUAAUUGGGGAAGAUUUGUUGUUUAGAAGAUUCACCACUCUAGUUUGUUCCUCAACUUCCACUCCCAUCCCACACUUUACUUUUUUCAUAGUUCAUCUGCAUACCUAACAUUGUUUUGUAACACAUCAAAAUUCUAAUGUCAUUGUCUGUUAGUUCCCAAAAAAUUGUAUCAUCGGUGUAUUGAAAAUGUGUGAGACCAAGUGUGAGACCAGACCUGUUAAAUGCCCAUUCCUUUGUGCACUAGACAACAUAACAGAUAUGGCAUCACUGACUAAAUUGAACAAUAGAGGUGAUAAGGAAUCACCCUAUCCUAUUUUAUGGCUUCUAAAGUGGUAGAUGCAGAUUCAUGCAAGAUACUUAUACCUAGAAAACUCAUUUUGGUUCAUUUGACGAUGUUGACAACCAAGCUUGUUGUGGUGACGUUGCAUCUAACCUCUUUAUUGUUCAUUGCACACUCCCUCGCUCGCAUGCUCAACACUACAUGCAUGCUCUACCAUAGAUGUGAACUCCUUAAAAAACAAGAUUAUUUUGUGAUAGAUAUAGUAAUAGUUAACCAAAAACCUUAAGAUCAUAUAAGAGGUCAAAAACACACUAUUAACAAAUAUUUUGUAGGUGAAGGAAAGAAAUCUAGCCUCUAAAAAUUCAUAAUAAACACCAUUGCUUUUUUCUGUGCUGAGAAAAAAGGCAUCUGGACUACCCACUUUUGCACCGACAGUUUCUCCUCCCAUUCUACGCUUUCAUACCUCAUCGAUAGGGCAAAGAAGCAUGCAACCAGGUUCUUUUAAUAGUCACCUAACACAUCAAGUGACCUAUCAACCAUGCCAAAGGUGUUUUGGCCUUCUUCGUUUGUCUCAAUCUUGAAUCAUUGUGUUUUAGUGCUAUAUUGUAGCAACAAGUCACGUUAAUAGGGUCGGGUGGUCUCCUAACCACAUUCAUGGAAGAUGAUCUUUGCACCUACUAUAAUCUUUCUUCCUUGACCAUGCUAUUGAGGAAAGGUCAUUAUACAAACCUAGCCUUGUCUUAUUGUCCUCCUCACACUUAUACUAUUAAUAUAUCUUUGUGGUGUUGAUUAUUUAUUUGUAUCCUUCAUGUUGCAUCUUGUUACGAAUUUAACCUUAUUUGGAUUAGUUGGUAAUAUUUAGAUACUUGAAAAUUUAAUGUCAUAAUCUUAAAAUUGAUUCUAUUUUAAAGUUCCAAAACUACAGAAUACUUCAAAGUGAAAUAGUACAACAAUGUAAUGUGUGACACGCCACCCUCUAGAGGAACAAUUUGCAUACAUGUGUGCACAUUUUAGGAUCAAUUUGUACGUGGGAGUCUUGCAUUUCCUUACUGACGGAUAUAUGCCUAUGUAAUUUACAUCUUCUACUUCUCUAAUCUGUAUAAUGUCAUCAAUAUGUAAUAGAGUAUAAGUCCCACAACCAAACAUUAAAAUGAUGAAAUAAUAUAAAAAUAGGGCAAGUAAUAAAAUCCAGUGCAUAGCUGAGAAUAAAUAAAUAAGCUCAAUGUAAUGUUGAUUUUGACAUACCCGAUACACCAUACUAAGUAAAAUGCUACAAUGAAACAAGACACAUACAUUUGAAAGUACCACGCAUAUUUCAUGAUAACAAAGUUGCUCACACUCUAGCAUAAGAGAAUACUAUGAUGCUUAACUGACAUAUAUAGGAUGAACUAAUAGGCCACCAUGCAACGUGGCGUACUAGAUGGUGAUAAAACCUAGUUCAUGUCCAUGUUCAUCAUCCACUGAGUAUCAAGAAGAUCUCCCAGCUUAUCACUAGUCCAGUCCAAGUGGCCCCUAUCUGCCUCCAUGGUCGGAGCCACUAAAGAACUACUAGUUCCCAUUUGCUCUUGUUGUUGGCCAAUAGCCAAGGUGGGCAUCUGGAUAUUGUUACUACUUCCAUGGCCAGUGUGGUAUUGGACUGAUGACCAAGCAUGGGCAUUGUUUAUGGAAGUAGGAUGUCCACAAAAGCUAUAGUGAUUUGUGUUGUAGACACCUCCACCAGAGGUGGCCCCCUCCCAGGCAGAAGCAUUUGUUUGCGGCAAGGGCUCAAAAUCAUAAAGUCCAAUGUCAUUGAUGCUAUAACGCUGCUUCUUGGUGCCAUUUUCUUUCCUAAGGAAGUACUUUUGUGCAUGGCUAGAAACCUGCACUGGUGUCUUGGAGGUAACAAAGUGCCUAGAGAUGUUCUUCCAAUUUCCGCGCCCGUACACAUGUAGACCACGGAGGAAUUGCCUACAAUGAGGUAGAGUUUGAAGUGAACUAAUUAGAUAUAAGUUUAGGUUCCAUUUCCCCAUAUAUUCAAGAUUCUUUGAAGAAAAAUAAUAUAUAAACACUUCAUCAUCAUAAUAAUACCUCAUAACCUAUGCUUAAUAAGGGUACUAAAACUUCAUGUGACAAGCAUUAUAAUCUAUAUGAGAUGCUUUAGGGAUCUAGCAAAUAACUAACCUAUGCUCGUCUGUGGUCCAAAACCUCCUAUUGUGCUGGCUCUCCUUUCGAGGAGUGGGCUUCCUCCGUGGAGUCUCCUUUACAUUCCUUGUGCUGAACAUCUCUUUUUGAUAACCACCAAAUGCUUCCAUGUUGCCCAUGGAUAGACCCCCCACAAACACCCCAAAGGGUUGAUUCAUGAGGUUGCUACUUGCUUCCACAUGUUGGUUGCCACUCUGCAAUGUUUGCAUCACCACCACUAUGACAUCAAUAUACAAGUCAGUUACUUGAUGCUUCUCCUUGCUAGGGAACAUUACCUGGAGCUCAUCCAUAAUUUGAUUGUGCUUCUUGUUCAUAUCACUAGCACAAUUGUUGUUGGCGUUGUCCACUUCAAUGAGAGAUUUCACCAUGCUGACCUCAGAGGCACUCCACUCUCCCUUGAACUUGGGAUCCAUGUGGUUGAGUACUAUAUAUGCAACAAUUGGUAGUUUGAGCUAAGAACAAGGGUUGUUGGGUUGUGGAGAUCGGCAAACACCAAGACUGGUAUUUAUAGGCUUCAUGUGAAUCUUUUUGUCCUAAUUUUAAUUAAUUGGACAAUUGAAUUUGAUAUAUAUUAUAUAGUAUAUCUCUACUUAUGUGACUUUUUUCUCAAAUGCAUUAAUAUUUAGUGCUAGAAAUUUGCUAUAAGCUCCGUAUACAUAUUGUCAACUUGACAACGCCAACAGUUUUCCUAUGUGCGCCCAUGUAUGUAGCCAUUGACGGGGUGACAUGUGUGGUCAUGCAUAGCCAUACCGCCACUAAAGUCAUUCAUAGGCACACAAGAUAGAAUAAUACCAGCAUCUGGUUUAGCUACUAUUAGUUGACUACAUCGUCAAUGGGAAAUUCUAAUGAUUACAAUGCUUCAUCUCACACGAGUGAUAUAUAUUUAUCUAUUAAAAUAUCUUGAUGAGCUACUGCAACAUAAAUGAUCACGAACAUUUCAAAUAUUGUAAUAAUAUAUGGAUAUCUUUUCUUGUGAUAUGGUAUUUAAUAGUUUUGUUCGGUAGAAAUGUACCAAAUGAAUAUCAGUGUAAGUAAUUUUGUUAAUUGAGAGUAUACAACUAAAUUAGUGUGUGCUUGGUUGGGUCUUCCCUGUUUUCUUGAGAAGUUAUUUCGAAUGACCUACGAAGAUAUGAAUUGCAUAUUUUCUUGAUAUGUUCAUGAUUUAUGUAUGCAUGCAAGAUAGAUUUUACUAACUAAUUUGGUAACAAUGUUUCUAUUGCGCCAUAGAUGACUCUUUGUUGAUCAGCCGCAAACCACCCGUGGUCUUUUCAUUAAAGGCUACAAGUGCUCAUAAUAAUUAGUUGACACAAAAGAGCAAGAAUUUGAGUUAACCUCAGUAAAGUGUCUUAAAUAUUCAAAAACCAUUUUAUCCUCAUAUAUUUGCACUUUCAUUUCACCUUGGGUUCAAUGAGCUCACAAACUAAUAGUAUAAAUACAAUAAGUGGAAUAACUAUAUUUAUCUUCAAAAGGAAUAUGUCCAUACAAUGAUAUUCCUAAAUAUAGCAUAUGUAGAUUGAAAUGUGAUAUACUUAAUCAGUGUCCAUGUUACACAUAAACCUACUAGUUUCCUCAAUUUAACAAAAAACAAACAACUUAGACUCAAAGGUAACUAGUCGUGGUUUGUCAAAAAAGAAGCAAGAUAUACGCAUAUAUGUGAUAAAGUUUGACUAACAAAUCAAAAUAAUGUCACAAAAUAGUGCAUAGUUAUGAUAAAAUUUUUGUUUCACCAUGGAUCAAAUUGAUGAUGGACCUUGGGUGUUGACCAUUUACGACGAACUAUGAUGUUACCACAAAUAUUGUCAUUGAACACCACAUAAUAUCGUCAUAGAUUACAUGCGUCGCUCGCAUUACUCAUCAAUAAUGCUUUAUUUUUGAACCAAAAUGAAUACGACUUCGACACUAAACCAAUUACUCAUAUGUGAUGCUCUAUUUUCAAACUCCAUCAUUAAACCAUUUAUAAAGACAAAAGUGUUAAAAUAUCUAUCUUUUUAAUAAUGGUUUCUAGAAACUAAAAGAACGCAAAAGAAUUAAGUGUCUCUUAAGACUUAAAUCAUAACUUUUAGCUCACACAAUGUUUGGCAACCACCUCAGUAUACACUCACUUUUGAGUAUAUAUAUAUGAUGCAAUCUUUUCAUAUGGACAUUUUAUAACAUUAUAUUUGAUAUUUUGACUACUAAAUGAACAUAACUAAAAAUGUUUUAGCUAUAAAAGUUUUAAAUCAGUAGUACAACUUUGAUAUAGGAUGUGUCUCGUCCAAAAUUGUUUGGAAACAUUUAAAACUUGAUUCUCAAAUUGUAUGAAUUUAAAUAAACAUUCAAGACUCCAAGCAACUUCAAAUAAAAACAUAUCAAUAAUAAAAUAAUGGGAUUAAGUUGGCCUCUAAAUUUGGUAUGAACCAUAUGAACAUUCAAGGUUGGUUGAAAACUUAAAAUUUUCUAAUACGUGAACUUAAAAUAAUAUUUGGGACACUAAAUGGUUUCAUAUCAAAAUCUUUUCAACUAAAAAUUUAUAGACUGCGUGAAUACCUACAAUUUUAAUAUAAAGUUUGUCUUCAUUCAACUUUAUAUAGAAAUUUUAUAAAUUAUUUUUAAGCAACUUCAAAAAAAAUUAGAAAAAUGGUAUGCGGCGUGUAAUUGUAGGCCUACCUUGCGAGGCCCAUCAUGCUACGUAUUUGUUGGUCCACCAUAUCAUUUACAUCAAACAUAAAAAACCCCAAAAAUAAGCAUAGAUGUUUCUCAAGGCUAAAUCCUCAACCUUCCACUUACACUACACCUUCAUAUUACUGUACUACACAUUCAUUUAUGAUUAUAUAUAGUAUGCUAUCAUUAUGUAUAAAAAUUUUAUAAUCCUGUAUUGAAUAUUUUAGCUACUCAAUACACCUAAAUGUUUUUUGAUUUAAAUCUACUCAAAUAGUGCAUCUUCGGUCUAAGAUGUGUCUCUAUCCAAUACUGCUUAAAAUUUCAAAAUUUAAAUAUUAAAAUGCGUGAAUGUAAAAUAAAUAUUUGAUAAUCUAAAUAACUUCAUAUAAAAAUCUUAUCAACAACAAACUCAUAGAUUAGGUUGGCCUCUACAACUUUCGGUUUAACCAUGUAAUACCCGAUUUUAAGGACAAAACCAGAUAUGCACCAUAUGUGAGUUUUAGAAGCCAAGACUCACAUAUAGCUACAAAUAAGGGGUAAUAUCAAAAGACAAUGCAUAAUUAUAUAACGUACAUAAUAUAAAAGAGAUAACCUUUAGCAAACAGCGGAUAGACAUCUCCAAACUUCGGGUAUUAACUUCACUCUACAGGAUCCAACUGACUGGUUGAUCACAAGCCUAAACUUCUCCUGAGGUUUGGGGAAAAUAGCAAGAGUGAGUCCAUGUCGAACUCCACAAGUAUAGCAACUAGAUUGUAUAACUUCCACAAUCUCAUGACCAAUGUGACAUAAAUAAUGUAAAGCAUUAAACAAUAAACAAUGAGCAUAUUUAACACACAAGAUUCAUCACCCUUAAUGUAGAUGUCCCCAAGGCCGCUCCUGACCGUGAGCUCGGCUAGUAUACUAGUUUUAACACUCUGCAGAGGUUGUACAUCUUUACCCAUGAGUCAUGAUUUACCCUUUCGCCCGAGGCCCGUCGACCUCUUAACCCACUACCAAGGAAGGUCGGCAGGGAUCACUAUGAAGCCUUUCAAAAGUUCGUCUAACAUGUUAGGGCCGCAAGGUUUCCUUUGCGAGCAGAUAUAGAUACCCCCCUUCCGAAUGGCACAAUGACGCGCAGCCUAUACACAUAGGGACAGGGGCUCGCACUAUACCCGUGUCGGUUCAGCCCCUCUAGCGCCCUUUCGGGUAACCUCUAACAAGCUAGAAAAGGUCUUCAUACUGAGCUAAAGCCAGAGCCAUUAUAGCCCUCAUGGUUGCACUGUUGUCCCGGGUGAUCACGUACAGACAAAUCAUCAAGUGGCUAAAAAGUCAUUUUUAUCAUUUAUUACUUAACAUUAAUCUAGUCACAGGAUCAUGGUCACAGAAAUAAAACCCAAAUGCUAUACUUGCCUUAAUCCAAUUGCUCUUGCUUAUCCUUUUGGUCCUGUUGGUCUCACAUAUCCAAAACUCUGAUCUUGAUCACCAAAAACUGCUCUCCGUCUAAACUCGAUCAUCGAUCACACAAACAAUCGAAGAAAACAUACACGAAGCAAACAAGGCUACAAUUAGAACAGUACACCAAACAUAUAAAAACAGUAUGAAAAGUUUAUAAAAUGAUUCUACGUAUCACUACAAUUUCAUCGACGUAAAGAUCACUUAAAUCGGAUUUGAAACGGAGAAGUUAUGAAUUUUCUAAGAUUUUAUAUAGAAAAGUAAUUAAUUAAAUGGGAUCACGAAAUUAAAAGGUUUCAAACUGAGAAAACAGUGUUACAGAAAACAGUGUUACUAACAUGUAGAGCUCAUGAAAACGAACCUAACGCAAUUUAAACAGUUCAAAUCGGAGAUAAAAUAAGUAUUUUAUGUCUAAGACAAACUAGUGUAUUUUCUUUGUAUUUCUAGAUUUGUUUUUCUAAAGAAAAACGUCCACAAAACAUAGUGAUGUCAUCAUGUGAUCAUCAUGACAUGAGCACAACUGUUGAUUAAUUAAACAAUAGAUAGACAAGAUGAUCUGUAGACUGACCUUAAUUUAAUAUGUAUAAUUGUUGUCAAGGCGACGGUGUUUAAGAAUCAAUCGAUCGUUAGUUGCAUCCGUUGCACUUGAAGUUUCUCGGUAUGCAGAUAGACAUGCAUGGUGGAAGCGAGGUAGCAAAUUGCAGGCUGCGGCUGAUAAAAUCAAGCACUGAAUUGCUCAGGCUAACUAGAUACAGCAGAGAAAGAAAUUGUAACCAUAUAAAUGUUCAGUGCUCACCAAUGCCAAACAAGGAUCGACUGCCAAGGUUAUGCACGGGAUGGUGAAUCAUAGACUGGAUCUCGAUGUCACGACAGACGGUGAUUAGACUUGCGGAUGAGGAACGGCCCACGGUGUUUUCCACAGCGUAGAUGAUCAGGCCCCGGUCAUGAAUUCGGAACAGCUGCCCAACGACCUGGCGUCGGCGAUGGCUGCGGCGAAGUUCGGCAACCAUAGAAUACGAAAGACAAGAAUACAGAAUCGAAUGGUAAAAAGAUCACUUGGAUCAGGAUAAGCCUCACCUCUUCCAGCAAAGAACGACAGCACGCACAUGACUUGGUCAGGGCAGGGCUCAUGGCUCUCAAUCGUUUUAUCCAUGUUUUGCUCGGCAUCGACUUUUCAACGUCGGAAGAACUUUGGCGGCGGCUCGGGAGAAAAUAUUUUAGAUAGCUAGAUUAGAUCAAAGAGAGACACAGGCAUGCACUUAUAACGCUAGGUUAAAACCAAGUUGGAGAAGGACUAUAUUUUAUUAUUUUCGGAAUAUUUAAUUUUAGUUAUAAAGUUAAUUCUUCAAAACCUAGAAUUAUUAUUUAAGCCAAGAAAAAUACUCCAAAAGCUCCAAAAAUUCUGGAAAAAUUAUCAGAGACAUUAUGGAAGACGAAGAACCUAAAUAAAGUAUUUAGAGCUUAUAAUAAGAUAAUUUGGAACAUCUAAAAAUUAGAUUAUGCUCAUGGAAAAGGUCGGAAAAAUUCCCGAGAACUUUGGUAGAGAUUGCUUGAUGGACGAGAAACUGAAAGGAGUAACUUAGGUACGAAAGAAAGGAUUCCGAGAGACCCUGAAUGAAAUCUUGAGCUGAGAGACAAGGAAUUUGAUUGUAGAAAAAAAAAAAUAUGCCCAAGAAGGAAGAUCGAUCUAAUAAACGUAUUUUAAAUAUUUUUCUUACUAUCAACACAUAAAGGAGCAACAAGCAUCACUUCAAAACAUAUGCACCAGCAUGUAUGCAUAAUAAUAUUGCUAUGCCUUAUAAUAAAUUUUAAUUUAAUAAAAAAUAUUAUUUUUCCUAUAUUUUCAUGAGCACAAAAAUACAAAAUUAAAUAAUUUUAUCUAUAUUUCAAAAGGAAUAAAUUUUAGGGUGUUACAAACCAUAUGAACAUUCUAGAUAGCUUGAAAUUUCUAAAUUUUGAAUUUAAAAAUAUAAGUUCUGAAAACAUAUAUUUAGAACUCGAAACAACUUUUCAAGGACAAAGUUGUAAACUAUAUUGAUAACUAGAACUUUCUGUACAGUCCAUGUCUAACAUCCAAGAUUGUUUUAGAUUUCAAAAUGAGUAACUUAAAAUAAUAUUUUAGAACUCUAAAUAAUUUCAAAUCAAAGCCUUCUCAACCGCAAAGUCAUCAAUUGUGUUGAUAGCUGAAAGCCCUAAUUUGGUUUAGUUAAUUGAUGAAACCUAUUGGACUACCCCUAUGUAUAAGUGUGAUUAUGAGAUAGGUUGGUCCAAGUCCAAGUGAUGGAGCUAAAUGGCACUCAAGUGAUAGAGAUGGCCAAAAGAUGGUGACCAAGUGCUCUAACUUAGAAAAGGAGAAAGAGAAAAACAAAAUGGUGGUCAAGGCAAAGGUAUAAAUGCAAUAUAAUGUGUUAUCAGGUUUAGGAUAGAUAGUUGUACUAUUAAGAGGGAAACUGCCAUGGUGAAUAUGGUUUUCUAGUGCCACUAGGUGAAUUAACUCCAUGCAUUUGCAUUAGGACCUAGUGAGUGCUAACAACCCUUGAAAAUAUUUGUGAAAAAUGCUAACUCAUGUAUAAAAGUGUUGGAAACAUUGUGGAGUUAACACAUUUACACAAAAGUGUUUAAGUAUUGGAAGAUUUGGAGUAGCUUUGGGUACAUCAGGCGCAUUGGUGCUAGCACCACACAAAUGAUCUUUGCAUUUGAUGGCUAACCCUAGUGCAUCAGACGAUGUCACUGCAUCAGACAAACAAGUUUGUGUCAGCCUCAUGAAAUAAUUCUUUGGACAACUUUUAGUGAAGACAUUUGACAAAUGACACCAUCUAUCCAUAAGGAGUGUUCAGUAUCACUAUUCAUGCAAAGGGAGUGUGUUUCACUGUGCAUGUUGAACGUUGGGGCUUUGUCUGAUGUGAACCAUCAGAUGUGUCUAGUGUGUUUUGAGUGGCUCUUAAUGCUCUCUGGAAUGCAUCGAACACUGGGUGAUGUUUUGUCUAAUGUGACUGUUGGUAUAAAUUAAAUACACAUAAGAAAAUAAAGUAUCUGCAAGCGCACAAAUAGUAUAUCGAUGUAGCACUUCACCCAGGAGUAUUCCAGAGUAUCAUUAUUUAUAUUUUAUCACAGAGAAGACAUGUGAUACUAACUAAGUCUAUACUUAACCCCUAAGAAAUAUCAAAAAGGACAGGGAUGAUAGAGACAAUAAAGAAGGUCACUAGGGUCAUCUCGUUCUAACCUUAUAAGCUAUAUGUAUAUUACUACUUAGGCUAGGGACAUUACUCAAGAGAAAGCACCAUAUAAGAUAUCUUUAACUUAGCAACUGCGUCCUACAUGCCACUAUAGACGGGAGAUAGACUAUAUAAGAACCAACAAGGCUAUAAAGUCACCCUCAUGAACUACCACUGAUGUGAAAUGUAGGGUGCAUCUAUGAGGAACGAUAGUCUAAGCACCACGCUUAUAUCAUGUAUACUACCCUAAUCUAGGAGCUACUAAGACUAGAGCACUCAAAAGAGAGUCGUAAACCAGAUGAAUAAUAAUAACAAUGAACUUACUUGAAUUAGAAGUUGAACACUAAAAGACUUUUAGAAGCAAGCUCUAGGGCUAGUGGAACUUGAUUCCGUAGGUACAAGCCGAAGAGGUCACCGAUAGGCCGAAGCUGGAGCCCUAACUCUUCUCCAACACUCUAUCUCCCUAUUUCUAAAUAAGACUAGUCCUAAUCUCUUGUGGACUAUAAAACUAAUCCUCUCUCAAUGAUUCUUUUGAUUCUCCAGGAACUCUUGAUGUAGAAGUGGAAUUAGGGUUUCAACCUAGAGAGAAUGCUUUCAUCUGAGGGAGGGGGCUCAGUAUUUAUAGCCGGUGGAAUGAACGUGGGCCUUUGGAUCAAACCAACUUGAACAACAAUGGAGAUUAAGCCUUGAGGUCGGUUGCUACCCUAGCACCUAGGUCGGCUGACCUGGCUCAAUGCCAGGUGGGCCCCCACCUUGCAGGGUCUCGCCUCUGGUGUUAUCUAAAAUCUUCUUCUUUCGGAGUUGCAUUGGGAUAUGCUUUUUACACCGACGUCCACCAUGUCUUCUUUUAUUUUCCUAUUUAAUCUCUAAAAAACAUAGAUAUACCAAAACUUGUGAAAUUCUGUCAGUUUAACCCCUAUCUUAUGCAUAUAUUUUAUUAUGAGCAUCUAUUCAUAUUUAGAUGAUGGUUAAAAGUGACACUUAACAACCGUUAACAAGCUCCCCCACAUAUAGACUUUUAUUCGUCCUCGAGAAAAGGUUGGAUCACUGCAAACAUAACUUUAGGACAAGUUAUCAACAUAAAACUAUUCCUAGUCAAACGUGUAUUGAGAGAUUCAAUGUGUCUAUCAUAAAAUUUUAGGCGGUUGAAAAAUGGAGCAGCUUGAAACAGAUUACCUUUUUUCGGUUACUUACCUUCUCCUCCAUGUAGUACUCUCAAAUCACUUAUAUAUGUCAUACUCUUAGAUCAAGAUGUCCAUGUGUAUAUAUAUAUAUAUAUAUAUAUAUAUAUAUAUAUAUAUAUAUAUAUAUAUAUAUAUAUAUAUAUAUAUAUAUAUAUAUAUAUAUAUAUAUAUAUAGGCUAUCUCCUAAUUCUACUUUGCUCCUGAUAACAUGUCUCCUACUUUGAAAUAUUAAGAAACUUUGCUUAGAGAGUAUGGGCUAUCUCCUAAUUCUACUUUGCUCCUGAUAACAUGUCUCCUACUUUGAAAUAUUAAGAAACUUUGCUUAGAGAGUAUGGGCUAUCUUUUUCUUCUCUCUUUUUCAAUGCUUUUCUUUGGACACUUGUCCCCUUUAUUUAUUUAUUUAAUAUUUUCCUUUUUGCAUAGCCAUAUGCUUUCUUUCUACAACUAGUAAACUUUUGAGAAAGACAAUUACAAAAGCUUGGAACAUUUAUCCCUAACAAAUUUCGUUUUGUGUUUUCUCCCAGUGUAGGAAUAAAACAUUAAGUGGAUGAAAAAAGAUUUUUUUGCGUACUCCUAGUGUAGGAGCAUCAGAUAUAUGUGGGUGUAUGUGAUCUUGAUCUUAGGCGCAUGAUAAACCUCUCCACAUAGGUGAACAAGGUUUACCAAAGCUCAACACAAAACAAGUAGCUUGUGAGCUAGUUUUCAAUAUGUAAAUUAUGUACGGCUCAAGUGGGAUAAAUGUUACUACUAAUGACUAGACAUCAAGAAUUAGGUUCUCAUUAUUCUAGCUAUAUCACAUUUCAUAAUAACUUAAGUGACAAGGGGUAAUUGUCAAAAAAAAGUGACAAGGGGUCCCUAAAAUAAGUUUUCAUCAAUAGCAAGGUUUCCGCGAAAAGUAUUAUGUGGAUCUAUCCUCGAGUCAUGAUAGCAACAUAUUUUAUUUAAUAUUUAUAAUAUUUAUGAAUUUCUAAUUUAAUUCAAAACAUGGAGCAACAUAUAUAGAGAUAGAGUGUGUUUGGUUCAUACCAGACUAUAAUUUUAAUUCUAUUUUUUUUUCAAGUUUUGUAAUCGUUUGUCACGUGGUGGUGCACCUCCCCAACACUUUUCAUGUUAUUCUUCAAGCAUAGCAAAGUGGAGACAAAAGCACAAAUAUCCAAAAAUAAAGAGUAUAAUAAUAAACCAAACUUUAUUUCGCUCUUUGGUCAAAUUGACGACAAAGUGUUGGUUACAUAUACAAUUUUGUGAAGUUUGAGACUUAAGAUUUCCAAUCAAAAGAUGGAAAAGGAUGUUCGGCCAAACAAAACCCGCCCAAAACCUGUAUUUUUAUUGUAAAAAGAAAAAGAAAAAAAAAGCAAAUAAUAAAGAAACCCUCACGACUGACUAGGAGUUCUUCCAGAUCCAGCCCUUGGCUCGCAGUACACCACAGCAGACCCAGAUCUCAACGUGCCCCUUCCCUCAGAUCUCAAUUCCCAAAUGCCCUCGCCGUCGUAGCUGCACCCCGACCCCGCGCGCUCGCUCGGAUCCAUGGGCGGGCUCAGGGCAGCAUCGCCGUCGGGCGCAGGAUCCGGAGCCGUCGCGGGGGCGGGAUCCGAUCACGGGGCGCCGCGACUGGCGAUGGCGUGUGUGCUAGCGUCAGAGGCCGCCACGGUGCUCGCCGUCAUGCGCCGCAACGUCCGCUGGGCGGGCGUCCGCUACGGCGGUGGCGACGGUGGUGCGGGCGACGACGAGCACCUUGACCACCCGCUCGUCGCGGGGCUCAAGGCUCUCCGCCGCCGCGCUGCCGCGUGGGGCCACGGUCGCUGGGCGGGAGUCGAGCCGCUCCUCUACCUCCGACCCUUCCUCGAUGUCGUCCGCUCCGACGAGACUGGGGCGCCCAUCACGGGCGCCGCGCUCUCGUCGUUGCACAAGAUCCUCACCCUUGACCUCGUCGGGCCUGGCGCACCAGCCGCUGCCGAGGCCAUGGCCGCCGUCGUCGACGCCGUCACGGCCUGCCGCUUUGAGGUCACUGACCCGGCGUCUGAGGAGGCCGUCCUGGCAAGGGUCCUGCAAGUGCUGCUUGCCUGCGUGCGCAGCCGUGCAGCACCGGCGCUUGCUAACCGCCAUGUCUGCACGAUCGUCAACACAUGUUUCCGCGUCGUGCAGCAGGCUGGAACCAAGGGGGAGCUACUGCAGCGUGUCUCCCGCCAGACAAUGCAGGAGGUUAUAAGAACUGUCUUUGCCCGCCUGCCGGACAUCCAUGUCACUGUGUUGUCCGACGAGCAGGUAUGAAGCAUUGUUAUACUUGCUAUUACUUUGCUGUGCUGAUGAUCAUGUAAAAUGUUGCUAUACCAUUCCUCCCUCAGCAUAAUAACUCAACUUACUCCUACUAUGCUUGUGUACAUUGGUCUGAAGUGUAAACAAGCGAAAUGAUCUAGGGCCUUUUUUGUACUUAGUUUAACUAAUUGUUGUCAUUUGAGCAAUAUGACCACGGUGCAAAUACUGACAAUCUGACACUAAGAUCAGCUCUUAGUUUGGAAACAAGCUUUUGUUAGUAGGAACUUGGAAGGCUCAUUAUACUAAAUGAAUUUUAUUAAUUUGCUGGUAGCAUUUGUUAUGCAGGUUACUGGUUGCAAGAACCAAAAUUUGGGUGCUGAGGAGACAGAGAACGGGAAGAGUGACUAUGUAUGUUUGAACAGCUCUGGCGAUGAGGUGGGAGAUGGUUCUGGUGUCGUGCCAGACAAAGACUUGAUGGAGCCCUUUGGGGUUCCUUGUAUGGUAGAGAUAUUGCAAUUCUUGUGCUCCCUCUUGAACAUAGCAGAGGACAUUAAGGUGAACCCAAGGAUGAGUCCAAUUGACUUUGAUGAGGAUGUGCCGCUUUUUGCUCUGGGGUUGAUUAAUUCGGCUAUCGAGCUGUCGGCUUCGUCUAUACACAGACAUCAAAAACUUUUAUCAUUUGUACAGGAUGAAUUGUUCCGCAACCUAAUGCAUUUUGGCUUGUCAAUGAGCCCCCUGAUCCUGUCGACAGUGUGCAGCAUAGUUUUUACUCUCUUUUACCAUCUGCGCCAUGAACUUAAGCUGCAAAUAGAGGCUUUCUUCUCAUGUGUUAUCCUAAGAUUAGCACAGAGUAGAUAUGGAGCAAGUUAUCAGCAGCAAGAAGUUGCCCUUGAGGCUCUAAUCGAUUUUUGCCGGCAGAAAGAGUUUAUGGCUGAGAUGUAUGCAAAUAUGGACUGUGAUUUACAGUGCUCAAAUAUUUUUGAAGAGUUAGCUAACCUUCUGUCUAAGAGUGCAUUUCCUGUGAACAGUCCUUUGUCAGCUUUAAAUGUGCUUGCUUUGGAUGGUUUGGUUGCUGUCAUUCAGGCCAUGGCACAGCGGACUGAUAAUGCACCUCAACAUCAUGAUCAAACAGUGCCAGAAAUAAGUGAAUAUUUUCCUUUCUGGCAGUUGAAGUGUGAGAGCAGUAAUGAUCCUGAUCAGUGGGUUAAAUUUGUCCACCAGCAAAAAAGCAUCAAGAGAAAGCUAAUGGUUGGUGUUGAACAUUUUAAUAGGGACAAAAAGAAGGGUUUUGAGUACCUACAAGGCGUUCAUCUUUUGCCUGAAAAACUUGAUCCACACAAUGUUGCUCUGUUCUUCAGGUACACACCUGGGUUGGACAAGAAUCUUCUUGGGGAUUACCUGGGUAAUCAUGAUGAAUUCUCUAUCCGGGUCCUUCAUGAAUUUGCUAGAACCUUUGACUUUAAGGAUAUGAAUUUGGAUGCUGCCUUAAGGCUCUUCUUGGAAACUUUCCGGUUGCCUGGUGAGUCACAGAAGAUACAGAGAAUUCUUGAGGCCUUUUCUGAGCGAUAUUAUGAACAGUCACCACAAAUGUUUGUUAAUAGAGAUGCAGCUCUGGUGUUGUCAUAUUCUGUAAUCAUGCUCAAUACUGAUCAGCACAAUGUAAGGGUUAAGAAGAAGAUGACUGAGGAAGACUUUAUUAGGAACAAUCGCCGUAUAAAUGGAGGAAACGAUCUGCCAAGAGAAUUCUUGUCAGAGCUUUAUUAUUCUAUUUGCCGGAAUGAAAUCAGAACUAUUCCUGAGCAAGGAGCUGGGUGUUCUGAGAUGUCUUUCAGUCGUUGGGUUGAUCUAAUGUGGAGGUCAAAGAGAACAUCAAUGUACAUUGCUUGUGACUCCUACCCUUUCCUUGAUCAUGACAUGUUUUCCGUUAUGGCCGGACCAACAGUUGCUGCUGUUUCUGUGGUUUUUGACAAUGUUGAGCAUGAAGAGGUUCUUACAGGAUGCAUUGAUGGCUUCCUGUCGGUGGCAAAACUGGCUGCAUUCUAUCAUCUUGAUGAUGUUCUCAAUGAUCUUGUUGUGGCACUAUCUAAAUUCACCACUUUGUUGAACACUUCUUACAUUGAUGAUCCUGUAACAGCUUUCGGGGAGGAUACCAAGGCUAGAAUGGCAACAGAAGCUGUUUUCACUAUAGCAACUGCUUAUGGUGAUCAUAUACGCAGCGGAUGGAGGAACAUAAUAGAUUGUAUUUUAAGAUUGCAUAAGAUAGGACUUCUUCCUGGUUGCCUCACUGGCGAUACAACUGAUGAUCAGGAAUCCUCUUCAGAUUCAUUACCCGGCAAACUUGCUUCAUCUGCUCCUCAAGUUUUGCCAAUUAGCACUCCUCGGAAAACUUAUGGACUGAUGGGGAGGUUCAGCCAACUACUGUACUUGGAUGCUGAUGAACCAAGGUCCCAACCAACUGAGGAGCAACUCGCUGCUCAGAGGAAUGCUUCAGAGACUGUAAAGAAGUGCCAAAUAGGUACCAUCUUCACUGAGAGCAAAUUCUUGCAAGCUGAUUCACUCUCAAAUCUGGCAAGAGCCCUCAUUCAGGCAGCAGGCAGACCUCAGAAAAUCACCAGCUCACUUGAUGACGAAGGCAUAUCUGUCUUUUGCUUAGAGCUUCUAAUUACUGUCACAUUAAACAACAGAGACAGGAUUGUUCUUUUGUGGCAGGAUGUUUUUGAGCACAUAACCCAUAUUGUCCAGUCCACGGUGAUGCCCUGCAACCUGGUGGAGAAGGCUGUUUUUGGGCUCCUGCACAUCUGUCAGAGGUUGCUUCCCUAUAAGGCGAACUUGGUAGAUGAUUUGCUGAGGUCAUUGCAGCUGAUUCUGAAACUUGAUGCCCGUGUAGCUGAUGCUUACUGUGAGAACAUUACCUUGGAGGUCACACGGCUUGUCAAGGCCAAUGCGACCCAUAUCAAAUCCCAGAUGGGCUGGCGGACUAUCAUUUCCUUGCUCUGCAUCACGGCACGCCAUCCUGAUGCUUCUGAUGCAGGAUUUGAAGCCCUGGUUUUUAUCAUGUCAGAAGGAGCACACCUCUCACCUGCUAACUUCAUCCUUUCAGUGGAGGCAUCAAGGCAGUUUGCAGAAUCUCGGCUUGGGUCUGCAGAAAGAUCUAUCCAUGCUUUGAACCUAAUGGCAGACUCAGUUAACAGCCUUAUUCGAUGGUCACGAGAGGUUAGAGAAGCUGGUGGAGAGGCAGACAGAAUAUUGGAAGGAAUUGCUGAGAUGUGGCUGCGGCUAGUGCAGGCUCUACGCAAGGUGUGCAUGGAUCAAAGAGAAGAAGUGAGGAACCAUGCGUUGUUAUCGUUGCACAGAUGCUUGGUAGUUGAUGGAAUAUCAGUUAAGUCUUCAACAUGGUUGAUGGCAUUUGACAUUAUUUUCCAGUUGCUUGACGAACUGUUGGAGAUUGCUCAGAGCUACUCACCAAAGGAUUUCAGAAACAUGGAGGUGUCUCUCUUGCAUGCUGUAAAACUGUUAUGCAAGGUGUUCUUGCAGUCACUUAAAGACCUAUCAGGGCAGGGCAGUUUUGAUAAGCUGUGGUUGGAGGUCCUUGACAUGAUAGAGAAGUUCAUGAAAGUCAAAGUGAGGGGGAGGAGGACAGAGAAGCUACAAGAGGCUAUCCCAGAGUUAGUCAAGAACAUACUGAUGGUGAUGAAAGCAAGUGGGAUCCUGUCAAAAACAGGUGCCAGUGAAAACAGUAUCUGGGAAGCAACAUGGCUUCAAGUUAACAAGAUUGCGCCCUCUCUACAAUCAGAAAUUUUUCCUGACAAUGAGGAUGGCAGCACAACUCAAGUUGAAGAAAACAAAUUGGAUACACAAGCGCAAUCUGACAAGAACAAUGAUCAAUAGGACAUUAUACUUUCUUCCAUCCAAUCAAGUUAGUUGCAGCUGGAUUCUUUCAACUUUUUGUUCCAAAACCAUACACAGAUGCGUGGCAGUUCUGUAUGUGCCAUUAGGAAGAGUAAGAUGGUAUAUUGUAAUUUUCUUACUUUAUAUAUAUAAUUUUGUUAUUGACAAGGUUGUUACUUUGGGCUUUAUUGUUGCAACAGCAAAGUUGUAUGAUAAAUAUAGUGUGCUACCGGCCUUGGGGAAUCAAAGCUUUUGGCUGUUUAUUGUUAUGAUCCCAGCACCUGUGUACGGUACUACUGGGGGAAAUUGCUUAAAGCAGUAGGUGCGACCGUGUUAAGGUUUUCCCUUGCCAUUAUCUGGUGUCACAAGGCGUCCAAUACGAAUGUGCUCUUCAGUUACUUCAUAUAUAUGGGUGAUAUGCUGGAUUGCUGGUACAUAUAAAUUUAUCAUUCACCUGUGAAUGUGAAAGAGCUCAAUAAAGAUGCCCUUAUUUUCCUUUGUUUAUUAGAGGCCAGGCAGGAAGGACAAGCAGCUGAGAGCAUGCAUCUUCGUCGCUCCUGCUGCAUCUUUGGUUCUUUUGCUUUAUGUGCCUCCUGCAUUCAUAGGCUCAAAUGAACAUGCGGCGCUGUAGUCAAAAUUUGCAAACACAUUUUUCUUACUGAAAUGCUACUUGUUUUCAGAUUAAAAUAUCAGAGUGGCAAGUUCUGAACAAAUCAGAUUUGGUUUGCAAACUGAAGGAAAUCGCAUACCCUUUCAGCUUCAGUUUGCAGAAUUGGAAGGGUCCAUUUAUUCUGUGGGAAGUCUUGUAGAUAGGAAUGCUAAUAUUCAUCCAUUAGUAAAUAAUCUAGAAGUAUAUUGUUUUUCGUUCCUCAUGGCCGUGUAAAUUAAAGCUUGUUUAUGCUCUUUGGAAUAUUAGAAUUGUAGCAUGACCGCAGAACGCAGAACUUGAAAAAUGAAAUGUGCAUGAUCUCAUUGCAAUUGCUGCAUUAAUGGAUGCAGUUGCUUUCCACUCCUAUAGCAGGCAGCCUGUUUUUUUUCUCAACUCUAGCGUAUAACUCCUUGCUUUUCUUGACGGCACAUGCUCUUGCUUGUGUAAUCCAAUUACUUCCAUGAGUCCCGUGAAGCCAUUGACAGUGUAUGCCUGUAUGAGCCUAAUACCUCUGUUCUCAUUAGUCAUUACUAAAACAAGCUGGGCUGCAGCAAAGCCAGUUGCUGAAAAACCAUAGAUGUGUGGUAAUAAGCUUAUUGGCUGCUAUUCCACGAUUCAGAUGAUUUGACCUUGUAACAAAACCAUGUGACCAUAGAUGUGAGGUUUGUGCAAUCACCAGUUUAUGGAGGUGAUCAUUAGAUUGACUUUUCGUGCUCUUGCAAACCACCCCACCUUUACGUUGACUAGUGCGCGCGCGUGCGGCCGACCUCAUUUUGCCCUCCUCUCCUCCCCGGCCCUCCCGCAGCGUCUCGCGAUCGUGGGCGGCCGGGUAACCUGCGGUGGCUUGCGCAGGCACGCACACAGCAGCACGGGCCGCACACGCUAGCCCCGCCGCGUACGCUACACGUGAGCGGCUACUGACAACGGCGUCCUCCUCCGCUCCGCAACCGCACUUGCUGCACUCCGGUGCCAUGCAUAAACAGACUACUGACGUAGGCCUUGUUUAGAUCCGAAAUUUUGUUUGGAUUUCAACACGGUAGUAAUUUCGUUUUUAUUUGACAAACAUUAUUCAAUUAUAGAAUAACUCGGUUUAAAAGAUUUAUCUUACGAUUUACAGCAAACUGUGCAAUUAGUUUUUGUUUAUAUUUAAUGCUCCAUGUUUGUGCUGCAAGAUUCGAUGUGACGGAAAAUCUUUAAAAAUUUUUGGUUUUUGGUGUGAACUAAACAAGGCCGCGUUCAGUUAGCUAGAAAUAAACCUGGAAUGCGCCUAGGAACCAUUCCAGCUUGAUCAAAGUUAUACAAAUUAAAUUAGUUGAGGGCUUGUUCGAACGGUUACUACGGAAUGGUUCCUAGAACGAUUUCUACAUGAAUUUCUUAGCUAAUUUAUAUAACCUUUGAUCAUUUGUGAGUGUAUUCAUGAAGAACCGAAUAAGCCUUGAACCGUUCCGCUACAAAUCGUCCCAGAUAACCGAACAAGGCCAAUUCUUGUGUGGUGUAAUAUUGUGUAAGGAGAGUAUUGUACAACGCACAAUCUUUCAUCCUUACGAAACAUAGUAGAUAUAUACACAUCUAAUGUGGUCAGUCCUACUAGAAUUUGAAAUGCCUCUUUAGAAAGUCUCGACCAAGUUGAUUUGAUACAAGUCUUAUCUCCUCUCGUGAUAAAGUAGUCCACCGAUCAUAGCUCAUGCGUAGGAUAUCAGGGUUCGUCGUGACUGCUGUAAGUCGUAGGCAGAGCAUUAGACGUUCUUAAUACCCAGGCCUUGUUUAGUUCCAAAAUUUUUUGGGAAAUCGACAAUGUAGCAUUUUCGUUUGUUUGUGGUAAAUAUUGUCCAAUCAUGAACUAACUAGGCCUAAAAGAUUCGUCUCAUCAAUUCCGACUAAACUGUGCAAUUAGUUUUUAUUUUCGUCUAUAUUUAAUACUUCAUGCAUGCGUCUAAAGAUUCGAUGUGACGGGGAAUCUGAAAAAUUUUGCAAAAUUUUUUAGGAACUAAAUAAGCACAACUAGAUUUUUCAAUUUCUCCUAGUAAUGUGGGGUUCUCCUAGUGUUUUAGCAUUUAGAAUUUAGUAUAAACUUUCCCUAGUAAAUGCCUCCUAGUGAGGAUUUCCUAGUGUUUGACUAAUGGUAAUGUUUUGUUACUAACUAAAAACACUAGGAGAACUCCAUCAUUUUAGUAGUGAAGGCCCCACUAGCAUAAAGAAUUCAGGGGUCAGAUGUACGAGACGUCGAUGAGAAGCCUUGACGCGCCGUACGUACGUUCUGUUUUCGCAGCGCGCGGAUCGUCAGUAUAGUUCACACUUCUUCUGCAUGUUCGUUGCACGCAGCUACCAUAACAUGUGUAGCACAAUCGUAAAGGAACAGUAAUACGUCUGUGAUGAUUGAUUUCCAUGAUCUAAAGAUUAAUAACGUCUAGAGCGUUUAAUCGGUCCGCCGGCCGUCCAGUUUUUAAAUUGCUUGUGCCCGCUACCUCCUUUUUUGUUAGUAAAAUGAACGGGAUGUCUAUGUCUCAAAAGUGAAAGGGUCAGGUGAAUUGGAGUUAACACUAAUCGAGGUUGAGCAUCUUUAAGGGUUUUACAUUUGGACUUUACAUUCUUGUAAUUUGCCAAAAAUCGUAAAAAGAGGUAUCCAAUGGUUUUGCAUUUAGAGUUUAGAUUUAGGCAACUUGGCAAAUGAGAGAGCAAAUUUGGCAUAUAUGCCAAGCCGCACACGGCUUGGCAAAAGGCCGAUCACGCGCGUCUCCUAGUCCCUCGCGCGACCCAGACUUUCUUCGCGCCAUAUAUCGCGAUCGCGAGCAACACCGUCGCCGCCAUCCGCUGCAGAACUCGUGAGGGACUCCAUGGCGACACAAAACCGCCGCCUCACGCCAUGAGUUCAAGGACGCCACGAGUCUGAUACGAGUCAUCGCGGCGGCACCUGCAACGAGCGGUGGGGAGUAGGAAGAACUGGCGGCGCGACCUGUAAGGAAAACGCGAGAACCGGCGGUGACUUUACGCGUGCGAAGGAAAGUCGCGCGGGAAGACGAUCGCGAGCACGCGCGAAGGAAAAAAAUUGCGGACGUGUCCACUUUGGCUAAUUGCCAACUCAAUUAUGCAAAACCCUUAGAGAUUGCCUAUUUUUAGACUUUGUAUUUUGUUUUGGGAGUUUGCAAACAACAACAAAUGACAACUCAAUUAUGCAAAAACCCUUGGAGAUGUUCUAAGGGUCUAAGAUAAAUCUAGUCAAUGCUAUCGAAAAUGUGUAGAUAAGUUUAUCUAGUGUUUUUUAAAAGGACAACAAAAGUUUUUCCAUGAUUUUUGUUAGACGAAGAAACAAAAAAGACAAGUGUCAGCCUAGUUUUAUAAAUGAAAACUAAGCUACAAAAACUAUACAACUCUGGAGAGUGCUCCACUCAUCCUGCACAAUUUUGAUACAACUGUCAUAACUCAAACCACCACUUACAACUUGGUUGAAUCGACCCACUAACAAGAACUACCCAACUAAAAACAAAUAGGUCGGAGAAAAAGAACCAACUAAGACACUCCAACUAGAAAAGACAACUUGAAGAACCGAGCACUAUCACUCUUUGAGCAUCGAUCAGUAGAAGAGGUAGAAAAAGGGUGCCUUCAAGGAGGGCACAACAUCCAUAGACGUCGUCGUCCAAGCUUUCUCCCUAACCUUAUGCUACGUCCACAUCCGUCGCUAUCAAAGACCCACAGAGGAAGCCUGACCUAAGGAAACCAACCCAAGCAAGGGGGAGACAGGUGGCAGGGAGCCAGGGAGAAGAGGGCUGGGAUCAGAAGAUGCCCCCAGUCGCCUAGUCCACCACCAUUUCGAGCAAUCCCAGCAUCAAUCCCCGCCAUGUAGAGCCUCUAGCAACCCUCAUUACGAAUUUCCGUCAUCAGCACACAGGAUCUAGUAGGGGAACGUCGGUUUUGACCAAAGAGUCCAAGGGCGACCGACACCGCUGCAUCCAUUCUUGGCCCCACUAGGCCCGAAAGGCGCCGUGGACUAGGUUGCCACCCUGAUGCCAAUGAAGGCCGAAGAGCUCCACCCCUAACCUCUGACACAGAACGCGCGGAGGGGACGGAUUCGUGUGGGGGAUGUUGGAUCUACCUGCCCUCAAACCGGGUGCCAUCCAACCAGGAGAACCACACAAAGCACGUUGCAGGGGAUGCCCACUGCCGAAACCAGCCAGCGAGCAAGUCGAACAGGCCAACGGCGAGGGAAAAAGAAGAAGAUGGGGAGGAGAAGGGACCAGGGUGUUUCACCCACCUAUAAACAAGCAAUAUAUGUCUUUCUUCUAAAGAGGAUACAUUAAAUACAUAAUCCACUAAAUUAGAUCCUUAUUAGCAGUGCCAACUAGGUAGCAUAUGUAAAUAGAUCCUGGUUGUUCAUUCCUUUGGUAACCAAUGUGAUUCUUUGCUAAAGAGAAAUGAUCACUAUAUGUCCGAAUCGUCGUCUCGGCACAACACCUAAAAAUACCACAUCAGUGGCUCUAGUUAACUUAGACCAUCUCCAAGGAUUUUCAAAACCCACUCCGAAUCUUGUUCUUUUUUUUUGGUAAGAUUGAAUCCACACUCGAACAACUCCCAUAUAUCAACUCCCGACCUUUGACACUUGGGAAAAUUGAAUCAAUUAUGUAGAAAUAUAGGCUUUUAUCAAUCGGACAAUCCGAAGGUGGAAGGACAUGAGAAAAAUAAUAGUAAGGACAUGGUCCCUAAUAUAACUGUACACAAGAUUGAGAAAAAAAUAUAAAAGAUGUUGAGAUGAUUUCAAAAUAAUCUAGGAUAACUGAUGGAAAAUGAGUCAGAUGACGAAAGUGAUUGGAAGAACCUACAAUUGUGCUCCCACCUUUUUUAGCCACUUGGAAAUCUCAUUGAUUUAAGAAGUGAUUUUUUUUAGAAACAGUUGGAGAUGACCUUAGUUAGAAGCCUAAAUUCGAGCAUGUUGCAGUUAUUCAGCUAAAUCUGAGCAUGCCACACGGCAAUCGUGGUAGAUUAAAAUGCGAUCGGAGUUUUAAAGAUUAAGAAAAAAAAAUUCUGGCCUCGGCACCGUAGAACGAAACCCCAAGAUUCUAAGUUUACCAAUCAUCGGCAGGGCUUCCAUAUGGCACGAACUGCAAUAUUACAUAAGAUCGCAUUCUGCAACUGCCGGCUGCAGGGUCGCCAGCCGCCUACUCCAUUUCGCCUGGUGGCCAUGUGACCUUGCACCUCUAACACGGCAAGCCCGUCGUACGCGACGAGCCCAACGGCGACCCUUGAUGCCAAUUCGAUCAACCCGGCCGGCUUUCGCCUGCCUAUAAAACGCACCAGCAGUGUCGUCCACCGAUCGACCAAGAAAAACACCGACCGAACAUCCAAGUACAAGUACACCACUCGCUACUCUUGAAAAUUGUAGGUGAUCGACUAUAGCUGGUUCGAUCGAUCGAGCUGAGACGACGAUGGCCGCCGCCGUGAUCUCCAUCUCCUCAAAGGUGGCUGCACUCGCUGCACUGUUCGUGGUGCUCGCCAUGUCCGCCGAGGCGGCGAGCCCCAACGGCGGCUGGCUGGCAGCCAAGGCCACAUGGUACGGCGCGCCCAACGGCGCAGGCCCUGACGACAACGGUACGUGCCUGCGUCCCACGCACACGGUGGGUGUUACAGUACUACCAAUGCCCGUGUGCAUGUCUGACGUUGUUGUGUCUGCAGGUGGCGCGUGUGGGUUCAAGAACACCAACCAGUACCCGUACAUGUCCAUGACGUCGUGCGGCAACGAGCCGCUGUUCAAGGACGGCAAGGGCUGCGGCGCAUGCUACCAGGUAGUAGAGUCUACUCUUCUACAAAUAAAUUAGUUAACCUAGACAUAGUUAACUUGCAGUCCCUGGUCAGUUAAUUUGAUCAUCGCGGUCAACCGUAGCAGUAACCCCUUUAAUAUUCUCGUACCAAUUGAAAAUCCAUCAGAUACGGUGCCUGAAUAGCACCCACGACGCUUGCUCCGGCAGAGCGAAGCGUGUGAUCAUCACGGACAUGAACUACUACCCGGUGUCCAAGUACCACUUCGACCUGAGCGGCACGGCGUUCGGCGCCAUGGCCAAGACCGGGCUGAACGACAAGCUCCGGCACGCGGGCAUCAUCGACAUCCAGUUCAGGCGGGUGCCCUGCAACUACAAGGGCCUGAGCGUCAACUUCCGCGUCCAGGUGGGUUCCAACCCCAACUACUUCGCGGUGCUGGUGCAGUACGCGGGCAAGGACGGCGCCGUGGUGCAGCUGGACCUGAUGGAGACCAGCAAGGCCACCGGCAAGCCGACGGGGGUGUGGACGCCGAUGCGCGUGUCGUGGGGCGCCGUCUGGCGCCUCGACACCAAGCGGCCCCUGCAGCCGCCCUUCUCGCUGCGCGUUCGGAACGGCUCCGGCAAGACGCUGGUGGCCAGCAACGUCAUCCCGGCCAACUGGAAGCCGAUGACCGACUACCCCUCCAACGUCCAGUUCCCUAAUUAGCCGCACGCGCUGCAAUCGCCCAGAUCAUUGUUAUUCGAUCGUCCCAUUAUUAGUUAUAUUGCUUAAUCAUGUGUUGUCGUUCGUUCCAUUAUUUAUGUAUAUGUAAAAAAUGUGUGGUCGUUGUACGUACUACGUGUCUUGAGAUGCGUGGGAUAAUGGAGGAGGCAAUGUGAUCUCCCGCCCACGAUCGCAACAUUUGAAAUAAUAACAUGAUGUUUAUUUACGAGCUACUGAAACUUCGCGCAACAGUGUGUGCACGCACGGCGGAACAGGCUGCUUGUGCAGCAGCUAGCGGAGGCACGCAGCGUACGCUUCACGUGAGCAAUGCCACGGCUCAGGGCUACGGCCGGCCGCAUCCUCUGAUUGCGAUGUUACCUCGCGUUUCACGCAUAGCAUCACAUCUAUAGAGUAAGAUCUUUUGAAACGAAGGGAAAAAAAGAUGAAUUCUACAAGAAAAAAUUUCUAGGAAAGAACUCUAAGAAAAAAUUCUAGGAAUAAAGAAUUAGGUUGCUACAAAUCCUAUGAAAUUCCUAUGGAAUGACUUGUUUCAUAGGAAUUCUGGACAAAUUCUAUUAAUAGGUUGAAAUUGAAGGACGUUUUCUCUCAUCAAAUUAAUUACUUUGUCUUUUACUGCGCUCAAUCCAAACGUUUGAUUGUGUGAGGCCUGUACCAGAGUCAACUUCAUGGUAGCGUAGGCGUUUGGAGGUUGCUUCUGCUUAUAUUGGCACGGGUUUAUUUAAUUGUUUUCAUACAUAACUUCACAGUCAAAUUCAAUAUUUUUUGGUAGGAUUCGUGUCAGCAUGUGUCUCAUUCCAAACACAAGAAUGUAAGUGUAUUUUGUGCUUGGCUGGUUUUAAAAAAUGUGUUGUACAUAAAAAAAUGAUUUAGCUUACUACCCGAGGAAUUCACAAAGGUUUUGAAACAAGGGAGGUUGUUAUCAUGGGUUAAGGCUCUUUUCUAAGCUAAUAAAAUGUUGGCUUUAGCAUAAGAUUUUGGACACUGCUGUAGCAUCAUGAUGAGACAAAGGAGUAUUUCCAGUUAAUUAGCAAGCACAAAACUAGAGACCAUGUUGGAGCCGUUUUCUUUCCAUGGAUGAAAAAUUAAUGGGUAUUUUUUGCAUUUCUUAUUUCCUGAUUCAUCAAUGAAACUAUGUAACAAUGUAAAUGCUGUGUGCGAAGACACAAAAACGGGAAGUCACUUCUAUUUUAUAAAAAAAAGAUCCUCUUUCGCAUGUUUUAAACUUUGUUCAUUUAAUGUCCACCAACUUCUUGCAAAGCUCACACAGGGCAAGGCAAAAGCACGACAUGAUAUUGCUCAAAAAAAGCAGGACAUGAUAAAAAAGAAGGAUACUGAAACGUGCUCACAAAGCAUCCUUGAAAGAUAAGAUGUGGUUCUUCUGUAUGAUGCACAAGAUUUGUUGAAGUAUACCACAAGCCUUGAUUUAUCUUCGAUUAUGAAUUCAUUUCAAAAACAUACCCUCUUGAAUUUUGAAAGUUUUGUGCAAGGGCUAGUCCAUAUAUACAACCAAUGUCUAUAAAAGUAUUUGCAGUUCAAUAAUCAAACUAAGAACCAUGUCCAAAUUGAUUAAGAAAGACUAUUUAACCUAAGCACCAUGUUUAAUUUAAAACCUAUGGAAGUGCGAACAACACACUACAAACCAAAGCAUACUAUGGAAAAAUGAGGCAUGAUAGUAUACACUCCCUCGAGAUGAGAACAUGAAUGGUCAACCAAAUGAUCAUUGUUUUUUCCUUUUUAGUUUUUAUGCAAAACAAUGUAAAUGAGGUGGAUGAAAUUCAAUUUAAACGAGGGAUAUGCAUGAAUCUCUAGCUUUGCCUUUUGUUGACCUGGCACUAAUGAGUGGGGUCUCCCUCUUCUGCAUGGUGGUCCUUGAGGUGCUUGGGAGCGUCGAGUGUGGGUAUGAAGUUUGGUGUGCAUUUGAUCAUCGACAUGGAAAUGGCGGACCCAUGGAUUCAUGCAUGCAUCCAUCUGGACUAUUUUUUUUGAACAAAACAGGGGGGGGGAGAGAUUCCCCACCUAUAUUCAUAUCAGGCUCCAAUCGGAGCAGCAGUGGCAGCAGAAUUACAGGAUGUGAGGUAGCAGUGCCAAACAUUUAGAUUAGCUAUAGCUUGAUCACCUCUAAGACGAUUACACCAUAUUACAAGAUCAUCACAAACUUUGGAGACAAUAGAUCUACCAGUAGGAUUUUCAUUCCUAAAGACUGCAUCGUUUGUUGCAUCCCAGAGCCUCCAGAGAAUGGUCUGUAGAAUGAAGGGCCAAAGCUUGAUGUAUAAACCAGCAGGGGGGGUGAAUUCCCAAGUCUCUGCGUCUGGGAGGGAGGCAACAUCAACGAGGUGAAGCAUGCCCCAGACCUCGGCGCUUACAGGGCAGGUGAAGAAGACGUGGUGUCUGUCCUCAACACUUCUGGAGCACCGCACACAUUCUUCAUCAGCCAGGAUAUGUUUAGCAAAGAGGUUGGCCCGUGUGCUCAGUCUAUCUUUGUAGUAGAGCCAGGAGAAAAUUUUAACUUUGUUCGGCAUGCGCGUGCUCCAGAUGCGAUGGCCAUGGGCAUCCUGUGCAUCCCCCCUAGUGUCUAGGGCGACAUAGGCAGCUCUAGCGGUGUAUCUCUUCCCAUUGAGCUUCAUGAGUCUAAUAUCUGAGGCGUCAUCCAGUGUCAAUCCCUAUAGGCAAAGAAGGAGGGCGGCAAGCUAGGAGCUCGCAGCGUUAGUAAGCCUAGGUCGUAAGCACAAGUCAAAACCCGUUUGGAAAAUGUUUCGAACUGAGAUGUGAGGCCGGGUAGUAUGAGAGAAGAGUGCAGCAUGGGAUAGGUAUAGGGGGCCAUCCAACAGCUAAUGAUCAUACCAGAACGAGGUGGAGGCACCGUUGUGAAUAGGAACAUAAGUGAGGAAGCGAUAUGUGGAGAGUUCAUCAUUAACAAUCUUCUAGAGAUACCCGUCGGCCCCAGCUGCGGAGGUAUCUAAGGACUCAGCCUCAUGAAGGAUCCAAUUUUUCCACGAAGCAUCCUCACUGGAAAACAACUUGUCAAUGAAUUUCAUGAGCAGGCAAUGAUUUUGGAGCUCAAGGUCCUUCACGCCAAUCCCCCAUGGGUUUUGCUAGCACAGAUGUUAUCCCAGGCAACCAAGCAUUUAGAACCAUGGCAGGUAUCUUCACGAGUCUAGAAGAAAGCGCGGCGCCGGUGAUCAAUAGCUUUAAUCACAGUUUUAGAGAUAGACAUAGCCGACAUAUAGUGAAGGGGGAUGGAGCUAAGGACAACAGACGAGAGAACAAGCCAGCCAGCUCUAUUGAGGAGAGCAGCACUCCAACCGGAAAGGUGCUUGUCCACCGAAGAGAUGAGAGGCAGACAAUCAGAGACAUUGAGCUUGCUGGGGGAAAGUGGAAGGCCAAGAUAAACCUGUGGGAAGGUGGAGACAGUGGUACCCAAGUUGGCGGCCACAUCAUUAGCCAACUCAUCAGGGACAACAACUGGCAAGAAUAUAGUUUUGUGGUAGUUAAUAGACAGCCCAGUCGCAUCUUCAAAAACCUUCAGAAUUUGUUUUGUCUAUUGAAUAGCAUCCGGAGAGCAUCGAAGGAAGAUAAGUGUGUCAUCGGCGUACUGAAGGACAGGGCAAGGAGCAUUGGGAAUGAGCGGGUGGUGGAGACUGGUAGCAAGGGAGGAGUGAUGGAGGAGACGGUGGAGAACAUCUGCCACAAUAAUGAAGAGAUAAAGGGGACAAAGGGUUCCCCUGACGAAGCCUAUUUUAGCAAUUGAUCCAUCUCCCAGGAACCCCAUUAAGGAGGACUGACGUUUUACCGGCGACAAGUAGAGUGUGGAUCCGGUGACACCAGGUGACAGAGAACCCCCUGGUACGGAGAAUUUGGAUCAUGCUAUCCCAGUUGACACAGUUGAAAGCUUUAUGGAAAUCGAGCUUGAGGAUCAGUGUAGGAGCGUUAUGACGGUAGCAGCAGUGGAGGAGGUCGGCGGCAUAGGCAAAACUAUCAGCGAUGCAGCGCCCGAGGACGAAGCCGGUCUGGUCAUUGCGACCAAGAGAGAAAUCAUAGGCUGGAGCCUGGUGGUGAGAACUUUGGAUAGGCUCUUGACAGUGGUGUUCUGAAGGGCAAUGGGGCGGAUGUCCCCCGGCUCCGGAGGGUUACUUUUUUUGGGAGGAGAACAAGGUAGAAUCUGUUAAUCCGUUCAAGAUCAGCAGUGUGGUCAUGAAAACCCUAAAAGAGAUCAAUCAUGCUGACGGAGGUGAUCGACCAUGUUGCUUUAAAGAAAGAGGGGCCAAAGCCAUCUGGUCCCAGACUAGUAGUAGAACGCAUGGAGAGAACAACUUUUUUGAUCUCAGCGCUAGUGAAGGGGCUAUCAAGUUCAUCGAGGGGGAGAGGCCCAUCCGGAUACAGAGUGCUCAGCUGGAAGAUCCAAUCAGUUUCACAGACACAACCCACAAGAUUAUGGUAGAACGAAUGUAAGAUAUUCGCCUUCUGGCCAUGAUUAUGGUAUUCACGUCCAUCGUGCUCAACAACUUGAAUUCUAUUCAUGCGCCUUCUCUGAUUAGCACAGACGUGGAAAUAGCGGGUGUUUUCAUCACCACAGAUAGCAGCUCUAACUUUACUUUGUUGAUUCCAAAAAGAAAGCUUGGCAUGUGAAACUCUACUCAGGAGGUUUACAAUAAUGCACCUCAGAUUAGCUUCUGCCUGCCGAAGGGCACGGUGUUCUUCAACGAAGUUGAGAAGGUUGAUGACAAUUCGGUAAUCAGUCUCUUGUUGAGAGAUGUGGGGAAAAGAUUUUCGCCAAGCUCCGAUAGUAGAGCGCGUUGCUUUGAGCCUGCUGGCAAGAAGGGCAGCAGGCACUACUACAAAAUUUAUUAACCGUGACCUUUCAAAGUGUCUUUCGGAGGCGGGCAGGGUUUGCAACCGUCUUGGUUAAUGGUAGUCAUUAACCGAGGCGGUUAUUUGUUAUUAACCGAGGCGGGCAUUUUUAACCGCCUUGAAAAAUCAAUUUAUGGAGGCAGGCGCUUUAAAACAACCGCCUCCAAAAAUAUCUUAUUUUCAGAGAUGGUUGUGUAAUGAUCCUGCCUCCAAAAUUUUGUUUUCGGAGGCGGACGUGCUAUAAUGCCCGUCACCUAAAAAGACUGAGGUCCAGUGAGCCCAGUCGAGCCCGAUAACUGUGUACGUAUAUAUACAGAAACUUAGGGUUUUGGGACUGUCCUCCUCCCUCUCCCUCACACUUCCUACCCAUUCUCCAUCUCUCUCACCCACUCCCACUCAGAUUCAGCCGAGGCAAGGGCCUAGGCGCAAGCGGCACGAGGCUCCUGUGGUGGCAUGGGGUGAGCUGCGCGAGGAGCCCAUGACGGCACAAGGCGUCCGCGGUGGCGCGAGGCGAGCCAUGCGAUGCGAGCGGCCGCGCGAUGUGAGCCGUGCGAGGCGCUAGCGGUGGUGUGAGGCGAGCCGCGAGAGGAGAGCCCAUAUCCACGUGCUUGCCUUCACCUGCUUCCUCUUCUCCAGCCUCAUCGCGCUCUGCCUCAAGCAGCUCGUCCGCACAUACCCGCCCCACCGCCGCGCCCUCCAACUCCGACGCGGGUCCCUCUGGUGGCGGUGCCCCUCCCUCUAGAUCUCGCACGGCGCGGCGUGGACAGCAUGGUUCUGGUGGCCGGGGGGCAGAUCCAUGCGGGGGCGACGCGGUCGCCUCCUCUUCCUCCGGCGUGGCGGCGUGCACGAGAGCCCAGACGAGCUGCGGCGGCGGUGGGUUGUGGAUGGGCUUAGCGGGCCCAUGGAUGGGUUUGCUGGGCUUGUCCAUGGGUUUUGUUUUUUUUUGUUUUUUAUAUCGAUUAACAGUGGCGAGCAGGUAACCACCUUGGAAAAGGUCUUAUUUACUAUGACCUUUAGUUCGAGGCGGUUGGUCUGCCCGCCUUGGUUAAGCACUUUUGCCUGUUUUGGUUAAAAAAUAUUGUAGUAGUGAGCGUUAUUGUUCUCGGUCCGACAACACCAGGCAGUGGUCACGACAUCAUGAAAACCUGGGGAAUGGAUCCAAAAGUUUUCAAUGCGGAAGACCGUGGAUUUAGGAAUGGUAGUGGAGAUUUCAACUUUGAGGGGAACAUGAUCAGAGGUGCUUCUGGUAAGGGAUGAGAGGACUGUGUUGGGAAGGCGCUCGUCCCAGCAAAGGUUAACAAAGGCUAUAUCCAACCUCUCUAGCAUCGGGUUAGCCCUCCUAUUGGACCAGGUGAAGUUCCUGUCCAGAAGUGGUAGUUCAAUGAGGCACAUAUCAUUGAUGCAGUCGUUGAAGGACUUAGCUUCAGAGAAGUGGAAAUUGUUCUUGUUCUUUUCAUGAGCAUAGCGAAUCAUAUUAAAAUCACCACAUAGCAUCCAAGGAGUGCCAUCAGGAGGAGUGAUCAUUCUAAGUUCAUCCAAAAACUCAGGUCUACAUUCCGGGGUGGAGGGUGCAUACACGUUGGUGAUAAGGAAGGAUAGGUUAGUUGCAGUGGAUGACAAAAAACAGACACCGUAUGAGCAGUGGUGGAGGUGGUCAUCGCGGUGAAAAGGGAUUUAGGCCAAGCAGUGAGGAUUCCACCGGCGGCGCCAUCAGUGGGGGAGGAGAAGAAACUGUUGAGAUGGCGUGGGAGGAAGCUAGAGAGCUUAGUGGGAGUAAUGUUGGAUAGCUUUGUUUCUUGGAGGAGAACAAUAUCGGGUUUCGAGGAUAGAAGCUCCAUAAGCACAUCACCACAUUUACCAGAGUCACCUAAACCUCUCACAUUCCUACAACAAACAGUAAAAGUUCUAUUCAUGGGAAAAACUGAUACAAUGUCUUCUUCAGGUAGAGACCACGAACUACUAGCCUGGACUUUACAUUAUUCCUCAGGUUGAGGUAACCUGGGCUUCCGUCAGCUAGACUGGGAUUACAACAAGACGCUGUAGCAGGAAGGACAACUUGAACCAAAGAGAAAAACAGACCAAACAGACAUGGCAGGUGGACCCUUCGCCUAUGAGAAACAAAAUUGGAGGCCACGGGCCUCGCAGCUAGGCGAUGUACAUCAAAGGAACAGGCGGUGGGUUGCACAGGCACUGUGAUCUUGGGGGUUGUCAUCAUUCCUUCACGGCAGGCGACUCCGCCUCACCAGAGAUGGUCGCGAGCUCCUCAGUGGAGGCCCCGCAAGCAUCGGCGAUCUCGUACAGGGACUCGUUAUCACCUCAGGGAUAAAAAGGAUCAGAUAGGAGAUAAGAUCUAGAGAUAGCAGUGCGAAUUCGGUGAGACGCACCCGUGAAGUCAAACUUAGCCUGCUGGACCCGAGUGGCCUUGUCCUCCGGGAGCUCGAAGCAGGGGUCGUCCUUGGCCAAGAGCCUGGAGCUCCUGCGCAGCUUGCGGGCAGUGUCCUUGGCCCGCUUGCGUCUAGCACUCCUCUUCUAGGCGCGGCUCUCGUGUUCCUCCUCCGUGUGCCCACCAGCAGAGAAAGUGGUGGGGGCACAUCCAGGCUCAAGUGAGACAAGGCAGCAGCAGCUUCUUCUUCAUCAACAGUUGGAGCAGGGACGUGCUCCUCACCUGCGGUGUAGUCAUGAUCUGGAACACCACCAACACCAUACCAUGGCAGAGCGAGCAUAGGAUGGUUGUGCUGGGUAGUAGGGUUGGAGUUAGUAUUGGCGGCUGCAGGGUGGGGGGUGGGACGUCUGGUGGUGACUGGGUGAAGUCGUGGAGUGGUGGUGGGGAGUUCCCACUCGAGGAUAGUGGCAGCGAGGUUAUGCGGUGCAGCAGGCAUCUGAGUAGGUGCAUUGCCAAUGGGGUGGUAAUCUGGUGGGGUGUGGAUAGUGGGGUGGGGACCGAAAGUGUGGUCGGUGAAAUCUGGCAAGGGUGGAGCAUCGACCCAGGUAAAAAUGAUGUGGAUCUUAGCAAUGGCAGCAGGCCCGCUAUGGUUGCGCACUAGGAGCUGUUCAGGAACUUCAUGAUCAUGGUCAAGGCGAACCACAACACGCAUGGAAGUGAAAUCAACAUCAUGAAGGCAAUCGGGGUCAAUACAACAAACAUUACCGAUUGCGCUCAGAGCCUCCCUGGCUAGAGACUCGGUCCAGUGCUCGAGGGGGAAGUCGACUGCGGCUAUCUCGGCAUAGACGCUGUAGAAGGCGUAGAAGCGGUUGUCAGCUUCCUCGUGCCACUCCACCGUGAUGGUGUUGCCCUCAAAGGUGAGGGGGACUCGGCCACCACCUGCUCCCUCGCCUCUGGGCUGCCGAACACCAUGAUUCCUAUGCCGUGAGCGGAGGCCGCGAGGUGGAAGGCCGGGGCCCCGCAGACGUUCUGCAUCGCCUGCUUGAUGAAGAGGUGGGGGCUGUGGACCGCCUGUUCGAUGUACACGUAGGCAUACACCCUGGACGCCUCGUACUCGCCAUUGCAGACAUGGGCCUCCACCAUGCCCCUCCGAGCAGGGACCUGGCACGAAGACUCAACCCUAGGAGAUGGGGGUGGGGCAAGCGGCUUAGGGAGAUCGGCUUGGUCAUAGGGAGUGAUGGUGGGGUGGAAAGCAUUGGAGUGGAGGAGGGUGGUUGCAUCGGCGAUCAUGGUGGAGGUGGUGGGGGAGCGCAAUGGGGGGGCGAUCUUUGGUAGAGUGGUAAGACUCGGAGGUGGUACUGGAUCCGGCAGACAUAUUGCGAGUGUAAGCGGCUUUGCAGUGAAAACGUUUGUGACCAGACCGAUAGCACCGGGAGCAUUUUAUAGGGUCCCGACACGCAGAGACGAAAUGGUCUGAAGCGAGACAUCUGAAGCAUCUCUUCAACGCAACCUUUUUUUGCCUCUCAGGAAUAGAGUGUUUUGCCGAGACAGGGAUCGUUGAUCAACUUUGGGAGCCGGAGCAUUGUCGACGCCGGCGAGGUGAGUACGUGUCUGCAGGAGUUGGCACUUGGUAGAAGUGUUGAUGUGGUGGAAGCGGGGGUGAUCACCAGCGGUGGUAAAAGGAGGUGAGUAAGCACAUUUGUCACAAUCACUCGCCAGACAAUAGGCCUGCAUAGUAGGAGGAUGUAGCUGGAAAGAGGCAGGAUGAGUGGGGUUACAGUGAGGAGCGACAUUAAGGAGGUUCUCUGGCACAGAAACAGUGACUGAUCUCAUCUCGCCGUGGUCUUCUAGGUCGCCGUUCAGGCGCUCCAACUUGGCCCAAGCAGAGAAAACAUGCUCAUAAGCUCAUCCCACCAGUGAUAAAAUGUACGUUAGUUGUGAUCAAUAGUUCGGAUGGAUUAGUCACUCUAGAAUAUAUGUAUUUGGCCUUUUAUUCCAUAUUAGGAAUGUGGGUUAUGUUUAUAAUUUAUCUUAAAAGUACACUUUGUUGGUGGUAAAUGUGGUGUAUAACGACCGUCAAUAAUAUUGCCUAAUUGCUUUGAUGUGGUUAGGUCGGUUGAGGAUAGGGCGAAACCUUGUACAGUGACACCUAGAGCCAUUGCUAAUUUCUCCUUGGAGGUAUCCAUUGUGUCCUACCUUGCUUGUGUUCUUUGAGUGAAAACCUACCAUUCAUGGGUGUGCGAUUACAGUGCCAUUGGCAUCGUGAUUUUCCUGAAGACGUUAUCGUAAAAAUCUAGCAGUGGACUUAGGACCUCUUUGAUAGCGACAGAACCCUUUUGUGGCCUAUGGGAAGGCGAAACUGCUACCUUGAUGUGUUAUUGAGCUUGACAAUGAUGACUCAAAGCCAUGUUUUUGGUUGUUGGCAAUGGUUGCCUUGGCUAAUCUUGGAGAUAGCUGUUUUUGGGACUUGGUGGCAUCUUGGUUCCCUAUCUAGGCUUUGUUUCAUACCUUAAAACAUGUUUGAGAUCCAUUGAUGUGAAGUUGGACCUGCUGUAUCGCAAGUGGCAAGCAUGGCAACUAUGACACAGACUGUGUCACCUUCUCUGUAUGUUCGUAAUGUUGCAUGACGUAGUUAGUGGUUCCAUGGUUUGUGGACCAAUUUCCCUUAUAAAUUGGGCUAAUUCUCUUCUUCUUUUUAAUAUGUGCUGAAGCAAUAUGUUUUGGAUCUUAAAAAAUGAAGAACAAUGCUCAAUGGAGAUCACAGAAGUUGACACGAUGCAAAAACUUUGCUCUAGUGAUAAACUAGAGCAUUAACUGUAGAGUUUACUGUGGUCCAACAACCAAAGUGUAUUUGAGACCAGAGAAAAAAGGAUCGCAACUUAGAGGAUUUGAAUAUCGUGGGGGAGAAAACAAAUGGAGGCCUUUGAAAAAAGGAUUGGAUCUCUAAAAUUGCUAUAUGAAAAGCCUGUAAGAUGUUUUUUACAUGCACUCAUACCACGUAUUUGUUACUCCUAUGAAUGUAUGCAUGGAUAUUUUAUCCAUAUGAACAUGUCGUCAUGUCCGACAGACUAAACUAGUAGAUCUUAUAUUGACAAAAUGACAAUAAGUAUCUUGUUGUUAAGGGGCCCAUUGUUUAUCACUAAAAGAAUAUCAUUGUUUCUCGCUGAAACAAAUUUAGAGGAAUGCAAGCAACUAUAUCAAAUUGAUCGAGGACUUGUCACUACAAAAUGGCUUAUUGCAAUAAGUCUUCCUCUAUUUGUCAAUAAAAUAAAUUGUGUAGACUACCUCCAAAUUCAUAUACAAUAAUGUAGUUGAACUACACCAACCAUUGCUGUGCUAUUACUAUCGGUUCAUAACACUAACGUACAGUGAUAGACGGGUUAUCACCACCGGUUCCUGAUGGCUUCAACCGACAGUGAGCUAAUGAUAGUCUAUUUUGCAUAAAAAGUAUGACCUUUUUAUAUGAGGUCGGAUCAAGAUAAACUUUAUAUCAAAAUUAUAGAGUUCAAAGAUAUCUAAAACUUUAUAGUUGGCAACUUUUAAAUUUGAGAUGGUUUCCAUGCUUAAAUAUUCAAUAUAAGUUCUCGAACUAGAUUUGCGAGAUGGUUAACAAUGUUGAAAAGACAAAGUUAACAUCAAAGUUGUAAUACUCGAUGAGAUCUAUAACUUUGCAGUUGCCAACUUUUCAUUCAAGAUAAUUUAGAAUAUCAAAUAUAUAAUAUAAAAUUCAAAAUUGUGUAGUUAAAAGAAUAACAUCAGUUAUAUGGUUACAAGUUUUGCGUAGCUUAGAUGAUAUGGAAGCUCGAGAGGAUUCAAUCGUAGUAAUACUUUGCACUUGAAUUCCUAUCACAAUUACGUUUUCUCUUAUUUUUCUAUUUCUACAUUUUUCCACUCCCCUAAGGAUCAGCAUGCAAGGCAAGUAGGCAACAUAUAUCAAAAGUCAGCCCCGAGUUGUGCCUUGCAUGAUCUAAUAAAGCUUCCAUAUUUAUGGACUUUUCCCGCCACGUUGCAGCUGUAGUUUGUUGCAACAACCAUGUAACAUUCUUUUAAAGGGACAAUGAUUCGGCGAGAAUGCAUAUAUAUAAAUGUUAACAGAGUAUUCAUUGUAACGCGAUAUUUGUUUUCCUGAAAUCAAAACAAGUUAACGCCGUUACUAGCUACGUGGUGGCACAUCUUUUAGCUGCACAGCGGAUGUGUGGACACGACGAAAUAACACGGCACCACGUCGGGUGCAAAGCGCCCAAAGACCUGUUGUGUUUUGAAAAUGCUGAAUGUGUGUCGCCCCUUUUUGCCUGUCUAUAUAUGCGACAUGCCGGCCUCGCCCUGCUCCGGCAAAACCCGAACACGACGACCUUGAGCUGAGAUGGCCGUCGCGAUCUCCAUCAAGGUGGCUGCACUCGUCAUCUCCGUGUUCGCCACGCAUGGCGCUCGCGCGCAGCCGAGCUACAACAACGCCUCCUCCUCCUCCGCCCGCAGAGAGUUGUACUACUCCAGCACCACCGGCGGCAGCUGGCUCCCUGCCAAGGCCACCUGGUACGGCCGGCCCAACGGCGCCGGCCCUGACAACAACGGUGUGUGUGCGCCUGGAAUGCUGUCGUGUUUUCCUUGUGUUUUAAUUUAAUCUGUGUCUUUGCUUUCAUGCACGCCUGAAUAUGAUGUCGAUCGUGGUGCUGAUCGAUAUGUUUCUUUUUGCAGGUGGCGGGUGUGGGUACAGCGGCACCAACCUGUACCCUUUCAAUUCCAUGACGUCCUGUGGCGACAGGAACGUGUUCAGGGACGGCAAGGGCUGCGGCUCAUGCUACCAGGUAUACUACUACGUGAAACAUGCAUAUAGCAGUCCUUGUUUGCUUGCGGUCGACUCGAGCGUUGUGUGUGUGUGAGUGGCGAGUGCGCACGUCUCCCUGCCGAUCGUGUUGCGUUCAGCGUUCAGAGAGGCCGGUGAACCGCGACAUGGACAUGUCUUGAUCCUGAUCUGUUUGGUUGGUCUGCUGCUGCUUCUCAGAUAAAAUGCGUGAGCAGCAACAACCCUGCCUGCUCCGGCGUGCCCCAGACGAUUAUCAUCACCGACGUGAACUACGACACCAGCCUCGGCCCCAACCGUUUCGACCUCAGCGGCACGGCGUUCGGCGCCAUGGCUAAGCCUGGCCUCAACGGCAAGCUCCGCAAUGCCGGCGCCCUCAGCAUCCAGUACAGGAGGUCAGUAACAGUUAGUGUAGCAGAAUUUCUGACCUGACGCAUCGAUCGAUCGACCUGAUGACCCACGCCGACGCCGCAGGGUGCCCUGCAACUACAAGGGCUUGAACGUGAGGUUCCACGUGAUGGGAGGCUGCAACCCAUUCUACUUCGCGGUGAUCGUGUACUACGCGGGCAGCGAUGGCGCCGUGGUGCAGGUGGAGCUCAAGGAGGCCAACUCGCGGACAUGGAGGCCGCUGUACGAGUCGUGGGGCGCCGUCUGGAGGAUAGACCCGGGCCACCCGCUGAGGGCGCCCCUCUCGCUGCGCGUCCGCAGCGACGGCGGCAAGACUCUGGUGGCCUACGACGUCAUCCCGAUCAACUGGAGGGGCAAUGCCGAUUACCGUACCAUCGCUCAGUUCCGCUGAGGGGCACACACCGCGACAAUGAACACUCCCCUCGAUCUUAACAGGGUUCAGUACAUUUUUAUCUUCAAUCGCGUGGUUGAAAUUUUAACGUAUGUAUUGCAUCAUCUCAUUUUUACGGUGUUUUUUGAGGUUUCAAAAUCAUUCCUACUUGCGAUUUUGAGAAUUCUAGAUACUUGUUCUUGUGUGUCUUGAGAUGCAUAGUACGUGGAAUAGAUAUACAGUAUACUCGUAUAUAUAUAUAUAUAUAGGAGGCAAAGUGUUAUAUUCAUGUGUUCCACUAUAUAUCACAACUGUUUACAACUACCUUCGUAUUGGCAAAAAGAAAAGAUAUGUGUACCGUGUAGCGCGUGUAACCAAAUCUAGUUGAUAAAUUUUGAUGUGGUGUCAGUGUGUGUAUAUAUGCUCAAUCUUCCUCUCGCAUGUGCGUCGUAUGAGAAGCAAAUCACGUACAGGAGGAUCGGAGUUGCCUCGAUGCUGGCUCUCUCUUUCCAAUCAACCAUGCGCGGUGUACGUGUAUACUCACGUGAUUACAGCCUCAUCGUCAAGGGAUUCACUUCCGAAUCAGGCGUUUUAGGGCCCGUUCGUUUAGACAUUUCAAGCCUGGAACAGCGUGGAACGUUUUCAGUCUAGUAUAAAAUAUUGAAUGGUUUCAUGUUUGGAACGAACGGACUCUUAAUAAGUAUACUCUGGGAUGGAACAAAUUAGAGUACUUUUAUAAGGGUCAUUAUGAUUUUAUUUUAGUGAUCACAUGACAACAUGACCCAUGGAUUAAUAACGUUUAAUUUUCAAGUAUUUGUUCCCUUGUCUAAGACAUGGCUAAAAGUAAUGUUCGCUGAUUUAUUGUGAGAGAAAAACAUUGCUGAAUGACUGACAGAUUCGACAAGCGAAUAGGACUUAGUGUCAUAGAUGUAAGAACUAUCUUUAUAUAUAAAAAGCCUCGAGUGUCCAAGACUAUCCAAAAAGAUGAAGUUGUGCUCGAUCGGUGAUUUUUGCACAGCACUGACAAUGUGGGGCCACCCAUACGACUCCCACCUACACCACCUUUGGUCCUCCCUAUCACUCCCGCACCGAGGCCCUCCUCCGGCAUCAAGCUAUCCGUGAUCAAUGGUCCACUGCCCUAUUGUUGCCGGUUGCUCUAUAGAUGCAGGUUCUGACAAGACCCGAUCAUGUCAGUCUGGUGCUCGGAGCAAAGCUAAAAUAUAGAGCCAUUAAUAUAAAUAUACUAAUAGUGAUGUUUUUAAUAAACACUUAAAUACAUCCAAAAACAUUAUUAUUAUACUAAUUGUAAAUAUUGUCUUAAAGUUUUCUUCUAAUAUUGGGAGAUGUGAAGUUAUUGAUUGGCAUCAAUAUCAAUCUCAUCUUAUAAUUUCUUCUCAAUGCAUAAAGACACCAAACCAUUUAAUCUUUCUGAAUACAUUAUGGACCUCGAAUACUUCAUCAAUAAUUCCAAAUAUUAUUAAUAAGCAAUUUACCAAAAAAAUAUGUUAUGACAUAUUCAAUAUUAAAAUCAAAAGAGAAUAGGUUUAGGUCACGCUACACUAUAUAUAGCUGCACGCCACCUCUGUACGGGAUUUCCAAAUCCCAUAUCAGAAUAGUCUUGAAGUCUUUUUUUUAUGAAAAAAAGAAUUAUAUUAGAAACAGAUUUUCAUUUAAAUUGUGAACAGCUUCAGAUUUUGAAACCAAACUUGUACGACGCAAACAUUCGGCAAAAGGUCUAAGAAUAGAUGCCCAACGAACGACAGUCAACAUUCAUGUAGGCGAAGUUAAGAAACUUCUUCUUUCUGUUGUCUUCCUCCUCCUCCUCCUCCUCCUCCUUCUUCUUCUUCUUCUUCUUUCUAUCACCGAAGAAUGAGGAAUACUAAUGUGAAAUUUAUUCGUCCUAUUCCUUCAUCGGGGCCAGAUUUAACCACCUAAGAUGAAGAUACCGGUCCAUGGUGGUGACACUAUAUCUGCCUUGAUGUCGUCGUCCGAAAAUAAAAGUCUCCAUAUCAUUAUAUCAGUGAGGAUGCUGAUGAUGUAGAUGUCACCCUCAUAUUGAACGGAGACGCCAUGAAGAAAAUGAUUCCACUUUGCCCUCUUGCCAUUGUUAGAGAAGAGGAGGAGAUAAAUCACUAAAAUAAAAAAAAACAUAGCAUGGAGAGACGCUAACCCUAAGAACUCGAUCUACUAGAAAAACUUAUUAAAAAUGAUGGAUCCCCAUAUGCUCCAGCCUCCAGUGAUAUGUCGGAGGGGAAGCGAGGGGACCAGUGAUGGCGACACUUGGAGUCACGAGACGGGAGGGCUAUAGUGUUGCGGCGUUCUACUAAUGGGAUACGAGACAAUAGUCUUGAAGUAUUGCACUCUAAAGAAUAAAGAUUGAGGACAAACAAAAAUCAAAACAUUGAUGAUUAAAUAGAUAUGUCAAUGCUUGACAUAUAUGUGAAUCUAGAACAUAUACAGGGGCUGUCUAGGAGAAACCAUUUUUACCAAAAUGUUAGACCCUUACACACAAUAAUACUUCAGGGAAUCUUAAUGAUAAGCACAACAAAGUAGCGAAGUGGGACUCUAGAUUUGUAAUGACUAUUGUCAGUCUAGGUAACCACAUGUCCCGAAUGUCCAACUGUCUAAGAUAUGUACUCCUUUGUUUGAAAAUAGACAAGAAGCAAGAAACAUCACCCAAGAAGUUCUAGUCAAAGGGCAUGCAUAAUGAUUGAUGCCUUGAUCAUGGUCUUCUAAGAUAUCUCUCUACCAUUAUGAAGCAUGUGUGGACUAAGAUUAGAGAGUUGAAUUACAAAAGGCAAAAACCCAAGGGUGAAAAACAAGCAAAGACUAUCUGUACAUGACAAACAUCAAGGUAGCAUAUUAAAUCCCGUAACCACAUGAUCAAUUUAUAAAAAAAUUAAGAAUAACACAAAUAAAUAACAUAAUAAACCAUCAUUUAUCAUCAUUAAUCAUGUUCAUCAUUGUCCAUCUAUUCCGUCAGUUUUCCGGGCCGCCCGUAUCCGUGGGCACGGCUAGUAUACCAGAUUUAACACUCUGCAGAGGUUGUACAUCUUUACCCAUGAGUCAUGAUUUACCCUUUCGCCCGAGGCCCGUCGACCUCUUAACCCACUACCAAGGAAGGUCGGCAGGGAUCACUAUGAAGUCUUUCAAAGGUUCGUCUAACAAGUUAGAGCCGCUUGGUUUCAUUAGUCAGUCCAUGUGAUUCAACCGCAGGAAUCCACGGUCUGCUAUUCCCCAAUUGCGCCACACGGGUAACCGCUAACGAGCUAGAAAAGUUACUCAUACUUGACUAAAGCCAGAGCCAUAUAGCCCUCAUGGUUGUACGAGUUGUCCCAGCUUUUGCCAAGGGAUAAGUCCUUAUGGAGGGUCAAGAUCAAUCUAGCAAAAGCCAGAGUUCUUUCCACCCUUUAUGUUCAGUUGCUAGAAAGCUUAUUUUAUUGUUUACUGUAUAUCUAAAUAUUCAUGUUACAAGAUCAUGGAUUAUAUUCAAGCACUAGCCAGAACUACCCAAAUGCAUAUCCAAAAUAGGUAACAAGAAAUUCAGGAUAACAAUCAUCUAUGAUUUUGCUAAGGUCAUCAAGGUGGACACAUGCAUAUGAUAUAUGUGGUAUUACUUGUGUAUAGGUAACAAAGAUGAUCCCAAGUUAUACUUUCCUUGAUCAAAGCUCUCCUGAGCCUGCUGGUCUUCAAAAGCUUGAUCUUGCUCACCAAUGUACGAUUCACCGUCUAUUUCCCAAACAUCAAUCAACAACACGCAAUCCAAUGUAGGCAAUCAUACACGAAGCAAACAAGCUAUAAUUAGAACAUUACACCAAACAGUGGUAAAACAAAUAUAAAAGUUUAUCAAAAUAUUCUAAAGUUCACGAAAAUCGGAGUUAAAACGUAGAAGUUAUGAAUUUUCUAAGAUUUCCUAUAGAUAAAUAAUUAAUUAAAUAGUACCACGAAAAUAAAAGGUUUUAAAACACUGAACUAAUACUUCUAACACGUAGAGCUCGUUAAGACGAAUCUAACGAAAUUUGAAUGGACAAAAACGGUGUUAAAAUGAAUAUUUUAUAGCCAAAACAAGUUCAGUGGCAUUUAGUAAUUAUUGAAAACGUAUUUUGAUUUAACCCGGAGCUUUUACGUUUUCAAAAACACAAGGCGUAUUCCUCGAAGAUGUUUUGGACUGCGGUUUCUAUUUGGAAAAACUUCAAGGGCUCUUUAACAAAAUAACCAGGUCGAAAGGGUAUCGGCCUCUGUUGAUAUUUGGGAACGCAAUAAGGAAUUGAUCCGCAAGCGCACGGAUAUCGGUGAGCACUUCACCCGGGAAAUUAUCCAGAGUAUCGUAUUUAUUUUUUUUACCACUAGGAGAAAGAGUGCAUGUGACUAACCGGUCUAUUACUACUAACCUUUAGGCACAAAGAAUGUCUUUCGAUGUGAGUGAUAAAUAGAGAAGACUGCAACCGUAGUCUUCUUCUAACCUUGGUAAGGAUGAUCUACUGUUCUAAUGGGGAGGCUAACGGAAUCUAGACACCACAAAGGAUGUUCAACCCGCACCUAUAAACCCUAUCCUUCCUGCUAACGAGAUGUGAUCUACAAAGGUAGCUCGAAAAUGUCACGUUCCUCACUACUACCACGGUCGAGCUAGUCAGGGAAUAUCUAUGAGUACCCCAGCCUAAACACCACGUUUACGCCAGCAAUGAUUACUCUAAACUCUACGCGAAGAGAUUAAAGUAAACUCAUAAACCAUAAGAACAAUAAAACAAGAACUGUAGAAUUUAGAAGUCGAAUUACUGAAGAAUCCUAGGUGCAAGCUUCGGGUUAGGAGAACUUGAUCCCGCAGGUACAAGCUUGGAGUAGACACUGACAGGCCGGGCUUCCUCCACUCUACACCUCCACUCUAUCUCUCUCAAUCUAGUAGAAACUAGAAGAUCUAUUUCUACCUUACAUUGAUUGCUAAGCCUAAAAAGUAAUAUUAAUUAGAGAAGAGGUUUUCCUUCGAGGGCACCCCUCAGUCUCUAUGAUAAUUUCUUCAUGUCUUCUCCAGGGGCCAGGGGGGCCUUGCUUAUAUAGUCCUCCCCUUCUAUGCGUUUUUGGGUCGAUAGACGAGGUGGUACUAUGUUUUUCUUGAUCCAAUAGGUCGGUGGAAUAUCCCGAACGAAAGAGUCCUGAUUUGGCUCCAGCAGGGGGGUGGGCGCCCAGGCUACCAGGGCGGGCGCCCUGGGCCUGGCCCAGUUUUGCCUCCGCUUCGGUCUCGUGGCUUCUGGAGUCUUCUAGAUGAUGUAAAAUUGCGCGGUGCGUUGAUAUCUCUAUGUAAUCCUGACAUGUGGGUCUUUCUUCCUUAUUUCCUGAUAACCCCCUGCAGAUAUAGAUAAACAACAAAACUCGUGGAAUUCUGUCAGAUCAAACCCUAAUUCUAGGUGAUGGUUGCAUAUUGGUCCUUUCUCUUGUUUAUUUGAUAAUUAAAAUUGAUACUUAAGAACCGUCAACAAAUACCCCCAUACUUAGGCUUUUACUCGUCCUCGAGAAAAGGAUGGUUAAGAUCAAUAUCUGGGGUAAACAUUUAAAACAUUCUUUAUAUUUGUAGGGUGUUAAAAAUCCACUGUGUACCAUAGUCAGGGAUGUAUAUGGUUAAGAGUAAAGAUCCUUUCUUCUCAAUCCUGCCACUUGGAGUUUUUGUAUAUUUUUAAAAGAAAGUUAGCAUACCUUUUUAUCCUCAUAGGUUCUCUCAGAUCACUCAUUAUCUUUUAUAUAUAUCUCACUGAGGUUGUUUUAAUUUGCAAAAAUUCUCAAGCAUACUCACUUUGCAUUUAUUGCCUGAUCAAAACGGGAUCCGAGGAGGGGAAUGUCAUACUCUUAGAUCAAAGACUUUGGAAAUUAAAAACUUUGUCAACUCUUGCUGGCAUAUUGCUUAUUAGAGGGACCAUGGGCUAUCAUUUUUUUCUCUUCUCUUUUUUUAAGUGGAUACCGAGGUACCCCUAAUUCUACUGUCGGACACUUGUCCAUUUUUUUUCUGCGAGGUUGUCGAGCACUUGCUCCUUUUGAUUUCCUCGAAAUAUGUCUAUUUUUGCAUAGCCCAUGCCUCUAAUGCAAUAAUACUUCGGAAGAGUGAAUCUUACUGAAUUAAUGUCUUGAUCUUAGGAGCAUGAUAAAUCUCUCAACAAGGGUCUAACUCAUUUUGAACAAACUCAAUACAGAGUAGAUAGCUUUUUAUAAUCAUAAUAAUAUUUUCAUUUUUAUUAGGCAUAUAAAACACUGAGGAUGGUAGCUAGAAAUUUGAAUAUUUUGAAAUAAAUUCUCCAAGUAAUAAUGAUAUCAAGAAUAAGAAACUCAUACUCUACCAUCACAUAUUCCAUAUUGACUUAAGUAACACAGGGUUUUAAAAUGAUUUUAUACUAAUUGCAAGUUUUCAGGAAAUAUCAUAGAUUGAGAUUAAUCAUGAUUAGAAAUAUUUUAAUCUUUUUAUUUUAUCAUGUCGGAAACAGUAAUCUGCAUAAUCCAAAAUAAAUGUAUGUAUGAAGUAAAGUGUGCAGAGUGUGUACCUGAAUCGUGGAGUGGUGUAGUUGGAGUGUGUUUGGCAUGUUGAGGGAUCUCCCCCAUACUUGUUUUCUGCUUUCUUGCACAAAAGUAAAGUAGAGACACACAAGACAUAAUAAUAAUAGUACUCUUUAUUGAUCUUGAGGCAUUUAUUACAAAAGACUAGUAGCAAACUAAUAGUAAACCUAAACCGAAUUUAAAGAUAAAUGACUAAGAUGUAUUACCUCAAGGUCUAAUCUAGAUAACUUAGCGGCGCUCUAAUUCCUUGAUCUUCUUGUUGGCACUGGCAAGAUCUUGCCUAAGGUCUAGUAUAAUGGUGUUGUGGUUAGAGAGCUGCCUAGUGAGGGAAUUAAUUGAGGACUGGAGGUCUGUGAUAACUCUAUCUAGCCUGCGAACUUCCUCAUCAAUAUCAACUAUAGUCUUGCGACGCUUGGGAGGUGUCUCAAAAGCAUUGAGAGAGUGUUUCGGGGCUGCCUUUGGAGGGAUGAAACGGACUUUGGAUGCUCUAAUCCCUUCAAAGUAAGGCCUUUCCUCCUCCGUAGUGUAGCGAACGCUGCUGAUCUCGCCGCUUCGGUUGGUCUUGACUCCAACGACCCUCUCAUUGGGUCUAGGUGGAAGGAUCCUUGUGCCGAUUGGCACCUUGAUAGUGGUCUUCGUCUUGGAUGAUGGUCCUUUGAGGAGUAGGGGUUGUGGUGGUGCGGUGAGAACUCGUUGAGCAUGGUAAGAUUGGGCGGAGCUGCGUUGGCGUAAUGCCAUGGCUUCUAGCUGACGCUCUAUGUUGGCCGGGACGAGAGCACGAGCAUCGGGGUCUUCCACAGGCUCCAUGUUGAGGUUGAAGGGGACGACCUCCCAAUCAUCGUGGUACUUCUCGGCCAUUGGAGUAGCAAGGAACUAAUAAAAAUUUUAAUUGAAGUAGAGCUAAUUAAGCUCUAAUUGAAGGAGAGAAAGCUUGGUGGCUUGGUGUUUGAAAACUGAGGUCAGGGGUCUGUUUAUAUAGGGGUCAAAAGGAUGCCUCUAUGGGUUGUUCGGGUUGCUCCCGUCGAUGUGCGUGCGAAACUUUCCAUCCGAGGGAUUAUUCGGAUCACCCUAAGUGCAUUUUCCAUAACAGAGAAAGUCGGGACCGAGGGGGAACAAGGGCUGGGCGCCCGCCCACUUGACCUGGGCGCCCGCCCUCUCUCUGGCCCCUCUGUGGGCCCACUUUUCCGAGCGCGUUUCUAGAUGCGAAAUUAUUUAGAAAAAUAUAUAUGUGCCCCAAAACCAUCAGACCAAAAGUGUUGGGCUCUAAUUUUCUAUGGGAAGGUAAAAAUGGACUACGUCUAUUUCUUCAAAUUCCUCAUUGGGCUCUAAAAAUAAUUUAAGACGUUGACCAUUUACCUUGAAUAACGUACCUUCGCUAUUUUGAAGUGUGAUAGCUCCGUGGGAUGAUGAAUUGAUUACCUUGAAUGGUCCUUCCCAUUUGCUCCGGAGUUUUCCAUGCCCGAAAAGCUUCACCCUAGAAUUAAAAAGUAAUACCUUAUCUCCGGGUGUGAACUCCUUCUUCUUGAUUCUCUUGUCAUGCCACCUCUUGACUCUUUCUUUGUAGAUCUUUGAAUUGUGAUAUGCCUUCUCUCGCCAUUCUUCUAAUUCUGAUAGUUGCAUUCUUCUAUAAUCUCCAGCAACAUCUAGGUCCAUAUUCCAUCUCUUUAUGGCCCAGUGUGCUUUGAACUCUAGUUCAACAGGUAGAUGACAAGUUUUCCCUUACACCAAUUGGUAUGGAGACAUCCCAAUUGGGGUCUUAUAUGCUGUUCGGUAUGCCCAGAGUGCAUCGGGUAACUUGUCUUUCCACGCCGUUCCUAUUUCAUUUAUUGUCUUCUGAAGAAUAUUCUUGAUUUGUUUGUUGGAAGUCUCUGCUUGGCCACUUGUAUGAGGAUGAUAGGGAGUAGCGACGUUGUGACGGAUUCCAUGUCUUGAUAGGUAUUGCUUGAAGCGUUUGUCGAUGAAGUGUGCUCCUCCAUCACUUAUCACUACUCUGGGCACUCCAAAUCUUGGAAAUAUAAUUUCUUCGAACAUCCUCUUUGAACUGACGUUGUCGGCAUGCUUGCAAGGUAAUGCCUCUACCCACUUGGAGACAUAGUCAACUGCCACCAAGAUGUACUCGCACUUCUUUGAUGGAGGAAAUGGACCCAUGUAGUCUAUUCCCCAGACAUCAAAGAGCUCAAUCUGAAGGUUAUUGGUAAGUGGCAUUGCAUCCCUUGUAUUUAUGUUUCCGUGUCUUUGACAUGGCCCACAUCUUCUGAUAUAUUGCUUCGUGUCUUCAUACAUUGUAGGCCAAUAGAAUCCACACUGCCAGAUCUUUGAAUGUGUACGGAAUGCUCCAUAGUGACCUCCAUAUGGUGAUGAAUGACAUCUGUCGAUGAUCUUCCAUCCUUCCUCAGUGGUCACACAUCUCCUGAGUAAGCCAUCAGAGCAUACUCGGAAGAGGUAUGGCUCAUCCCAUAUAUGUGAACGACUUUCUUGAAUAAGCUUCUUUUUGUUUGCUCCUGGUGGUACAUACCCUGAAACCAUAAAAUUAACAAUAUCUGCAUACCAGGGGUCAGACCUGUUAAUCCCGUAGAGCAUGUCGUCCCGGAGUGAAUCAUUGAUGGGGGUUUCCUGUGGACUCUUAAAAUACAUUCUAGACAAGUGAUCAGCAACAGAAUUUUCUACUCCUUUUUUAUCUUUUAUUUCUAUGUCAAAUUCUUGGAGUAAUAAGAUCCAUCUAAUCAGGCGAGGUUUAGCGUCUUUUUUAGUGAGCAAAUAUUUUAGUGCAGCAUGAUCAGUGUAAACAAUUAUUUUAGCUCCAACUAAAUAAGAUCUAAAUUUAUCAAUGGUAAAGACAACAGCCAGAAGCUCUUUUUCAGUGGUUGCAUAAUUAAGUUGAGCUCCUGUCAAAGUUUUACUGGCAUAAGCAAUUGCAUGAUGCUUCUUAUUUUUAGUUUGCCCUAAUACUGCCCCCACAGCAUAAUCACUAGCAUCACACAUAAUUUCAAAAGGCAACGACCAAUCAGGGGGUUGAAUGAUUGGUGCAGAGAUGAGUGCUUUCUUUAAUAAAUUGAAAGAUGUUAGACAUACAUCAUCAAAUUCGAAAGGAGCAUCCUUGGCUAGCAAAAGAGUAAGUGGUCUAGCAAUAAAUGAAAAAUCUUUUAUGAAUCUACGAUAAAAACCAGCAUGGCCAAGAAAGCUUCGAAUUCCUUUUAUAUUCACAGGUGGAGGUAGUUGUUCAAUUACUUCAAUUUUAGCUUUGUCUACCUCAAUACCUCUUUCAGACACUAAGUGUCCUAGCACUAUUCCUUCCCUAACCAUAAAAUGACAUUUUUCCCAAUUAAGGAUUAAAUGCUUUUCUUCACAUCUUUGCAAAACCUUGUCUAAGUUUUCAAGACAACUAUCAAAAGUUUUUCCAUAAACAGAGAAAUCAUCCAUGAAAACUCCCAUAAUCUCUUCAAUCAUAUCAGAAAAUAUAGACAUCAUGCAUCUUUGAAAAGAAGCUGGUGCAUUACAUAACCCAAAAGACAUUCUACGGUAAGCAUAAGUUCCAUAAGGGCAUGUAAAAGUGGUUUUGCUUUGAUCAUCGGGAUGGAUCGGGAUUUGAUGAUACCCUGAAUAUCCAUCUAAGAAACAAAAGAAUGAAUGGUUUGCUAAUCGCCCUAGCAUCUCAUCUAUGAAAGGUAAAGGAAAGUGAUCCUUUCUCGUGGCUUUGUUUAGUUUUCUAUAAUCUAUGCACAUCCGCCAUCCUGUGACGGUGCGUUGCGGAAUUAGCUCAUUCUUUUCAUUCAUAAUAACUGUCAUGCCUCCCUUUUUGGGCACAACUUGUACUGGGCUUACCCACUCACUGUGCGGCACAGGAUAUAUAAUCCCUGCAUGUAACAACUUUAUAACUUCCUUUUUAACUACCUCUCUCAUAGUGUUGUUAAGUCUACGUUGGGGUUCUCGAGAGGGUGUAACAGAAGGAUCUGUUGGAAUACGAUGGGUACAAAUCAUAGGACUGAUUCCUGUAAGAUCUUGAAGUGAGUAGCCGAAAACUGAGUGAUGUUUCUCAAGAAUGGUCAUUAAUCGCAGAGUUUGAUCCUGAGUGAGUUUAUCGCUAAUGAUCACAGGGAACUCUGGAUUAUUGUUUAGGAAAGCAUAGAUAAGACCGGGUGGUAAAGUUUUAAGCUCUAUGGAGGGUCUAGGUGUUUCUGCAAACUCAUCUAAGGGUUCAGGCUCAGAAGGUUCGUCUUCUUCUUCUGUGAAGAAAGGAGUUUCGUCUUCUAAGUCUGGUUCAUCUAAAAGCUCUAGAGAUGCAGCCUUUACUUCCUCCAUAGGAUCAGGCAAAAGAUAUGACUCGGCCUUAUUAUUUAAGGAGUGUGAAAUUAUCAUUGGGAAUUGAAAAGUUUUUCCAAAAGAAAUAUGUAGCUUUCCCGUAUGACCUUCAUAAAGGAGUCUUCUAAAAGGUUGUCCUAUCAAUAGGUCGAAGUCCCAUGUAUCAAAGAUAUAGAAGUUCAAAUGAACCAUGGAGCCUUCUACUGUAAGAGGUAGGACAUUAAUAAUUCCAAGACUGGGGACUAAUCGUCCUGAAGAUUCCUUUAUGACCUUUGUUGUGGGGGUUAAGAUAAGAUUUUUAAAUAGUUUAAGUGCAAAGGAUUCAGACAUAAUGUUGAUCCCCACAACAGGAUUAUAGAGAGCAUUAAAUCGAUCAGAAUUAUAAGCACAGCGUAUAGUUAUAGAGGGUGUGUCCAAUCGGAUCACAUCAGAAGAAAGCUCUGAUUCCUCCAACCAUUCGCUACUCAUUACUGAGAUAAGCUCUCUCAAUUGAUAUUCACUUGGUAAAUAAAUGCUAAACUGGCCGUUUUGGGGUUUGUCAAUAGAAUGGUAGUUUGAAAUAUUUCCAAAAUUGGUAAAAAGAUCGGAUUCUAUAUCCAGCAUGAAGUCCGGUAGUGGAAUUUCUUCCUCUUGUGGCUCAAAACUUGGGAUAGCUAAAGUAGAUGAAGAAUUUGGCAGAGUGUCUACUUCGGCUUCGUAGGUUUCAUCAUGAAGGGUAUUAUCCAUCUCAGCUUCUAGGAUUCUAUCUAGGAUCACUCUAGCUCUAUCAGCAGGGAUGCGAAAGAAAGAACCUCUAGACAUUGUGUGUAGCAUUUGUUUGUGAUUUUUCUGAAGACCUCGAAAAAAGUGAAAUAAAAGAACAGGGUCUUCAAGAUUAAGGUUUGGACCAGAUUCUAAAAGAUCAGAAAAACGUUUCCAGGAUUUUCCCAAAGUUUCAUUAUCUUUUUGUUUAAAAGAUAGGACUUCGAGUCUAAGGUCGGCUAUACGGUCAAGGGAAUAGAAAUCUAGACAAAAGUUGGCUCGUAAAACUCCCCAUUCACCUUGUUGUUGACUUACCUUCUGACUGUACCAUUGUCUAGCUUCUCCCCUUAGAGAAAAAGGAAAAAGCUUCCAACGUAAAGUCUUAUCAGAAAUGCCUUCAAUGCGAAGACAAUCACAUGUUUGCUCAAAAUCUCUAAUAUGAAGGUAAGGGUUUUCGUCUUCCUUUCCCGAAAAAGAUAGGUUUUGAAUCAUGGCAAUCAACCUAGAACUUAACUUAUACUGGGAUGUUUGGAUAGGCUGUGAUGAUUCCCAUGGUAAAAGGUCAGUUGCUAAAGGGAUUGCAGACUCAUGGAUCGAUUUAGAAUUUUGGUUUUCCAUAAGGUAAGAGAAAAAUAAAUAAAGGAUAUAAAAGAUAAGAAAAGAUAAAAGUAUAGAUACAAGCUAAUAGCAAGACACAGGUUAUCUCAGCAACCGUCUUUCUCCCCGGCAACGGCGCCAGAAAUGCUUGUUGAUAUUUGGGAACGCAAUAAGGAAUUGAUCCGCAAGCGCACGGAUAUCGGUGAGCACUUCACCCGGGAAAUUAUCCAGAGUAUCGUAUUUAUUUUUUUUACCACUAGGAGAAAGAGUGCAUCUGACUAACCGGUCUAUUACUACUAACCUUUAGGCACAAAGAAUGUCUUUCGAUGUGAGUGAUUGUGGCAGAACCUCCUGAAUUAAAUGGCCCACAUGCACACAUCAUUGUCCCAAAGACUUCUGAUCGACGUGCACGAGUUCCAAAUGACUCAAGAAGUCUGUCGGGUGUCCUCGGGAAACCCGAAUCAUCCACGUAACAAUCUUUUCAGGAAUUCCCUCAUCAAGCAUCACAGUAUUACAACAUUUCAUAGAUAAGAGAAAUCAGAGUAAAAGCGGAAAGGUUACAUAACAUAGAUUGAAACUUAAGUUCAUAGUUUACAAACCAUAAGUAUUUGAUACAUAAAGGCUUCGGAACUUUAUUAUUACAUAAACCAUAGAUUCACACAACGACUUUUACUUGCACAAGGUCACACAUCAGAAACCUCAUCGUCACUUUCCUCCACAAGAGUAAAGUAACCAUGGCCAUCAAAAGGAUUAUCAAAAGACUCACCUGCAACAUGGGUUAAGAAACCCUGAGUACAAAAGUACUCCACAAGACUUAACCGACUAUAAAAGAGAUGAAGACUCAGGUAUGUAGGCUAUAGGGAUUCAAGGUAAAGCUUUAUCAAGAUCAAGUAUUUCUUUUGCAUAAAAGCUUACUAAGAGUAAAGCUUACUUUCAAGUUUUAACUCAAGAUUAUCACUUAUUGCUAGCCAAGAUCAUUAUCCAACUUUCAUAAGCAAAACACCUCUUUCUUAUACCAAAGAUUCACUUAUUACUACGAUGAUGGUACGAGGAUUGAGGCUCCAUAUCCGAGGAAACACGGCGAUUCGAAUCGAUUAAACCCAGCUGGGGAUUCAGUACCACACGACAUAUGUAGAACUUAAUCUUGCAUACGUCAACCUUUUCUAUAGAUCCUCCCAUACAAGAACGGGUCCAGCGUCACCCGAGAGUACAGUACACCACCAUCCUACAGCCAAUCUAGAUGUUUCCCGGUCAUCUCAGAUCCGUAAGGUGGGUACACGCUACUCUCGCCAUCUUUCCACUCCCAGUACGCGGUUAGCCGUUCUCAAGUAUCGGAAUAGCUAUAGAUAAGGCUUACCGCCGCAUGUGGGCUGUACUCAAAGUUCUCAAUCACAACAGGCCAAUCAACGGUACGGUCCUUAAUCGACUCAGUUGGAGACACUACUUUAAGACUCCAUUCUUAAAGCAAGUCCACCGACCGGUCUCAAAUUGAACAUCAUUAACUAUAAAAAUAUUCCACAACAACCCUUCAAACUCUUUCAUUUGAAAACUUAUCUAAUAAGCAGGGCUAAGCAUACUAAGCAUUUUCAUAAAGCAAGUACCAAGGUUAAUAUGGAAAUCAUCGAGGUAGAUAAUGCAGCAAAUAGGAUUCACUCAACUCCUAUUCACCUAAUGCAUCAUAUUAACUCAAGUGAUAUAAAUAACUUUAUGAAAAUACAAGGGUAGGGUUUAAUGUCCGGGGCUUGCCUUGGUCGGAGGAGACGUUCGGCAAUUCAACAACACCCGAAGGAUCCACAAACUCGGAAGAAAUCCACUGAGGAUCAGAUUCUUCCGGAGCGUAUUCUAUACGUAAAAGUGCAUAUGCAUGAUUAUGAUAUAUUCAAGGUAUGAUAAAGACAAAUUACAUGGUCUUGGAUAGAAACAACAAACUAUGAUUAUCUCGAGUACAAUUUACCUUCACGGUAUAGAAACAACUAACUUAGCUACCCAAAAACAUGGAUUAUUUCUAACAAGUUUUAUCAUCUUUAUUAAGCAAUAAAGUGAAUCUAUCAUAUCAUAAAGAUUAUUUAUAUGAAAAUAAACCAUAACCAGGGAGCAUAUCAUGCUAAGUAACCAGGGUUGUCAAACAAUCCAAAACAUCACCCAAACCCUAAAGGGAUUAAUUAUUUCUAUUUCUUUUAUAAGCAUUUUAAAUAGCUUUAUUAAGAAACAUAGCAUACUUUAUCAAACAGAGCUGAAAUUAAUCAUGAAGCUAGAUAACAGUUACACAAAAUCACAUAUUAAAUUUCAUGAUUUUUGGAUAUACCCAAAAUUGAUUAAAAAUCAUGGAAGAUUUAUUUAUUAAUAAACAGAGGCAAUUUUUACACACAUGCAAACUACCAGAAAAUAUAACCAAAUAUUUUUCAUGUGUUCUACUCAUUUUAAGGAAGCCAUACAAAAAUUCUCAUAAUUUUUGGAUUAGCACAUGAUUUAAUACAUAAAUUCAAACAUAAUUCAAAAACUGCAGAAAAAGAAAAAGAAAACACUGCAGCGAAAUGGCCGGAAUUCGGCCCGCAGGUCGGCCCACUCCAGUUCGGCCCGCGCGGACGCUGCGCGCGCCCUCUCUCCCUCUCACACAGCCGCUGACGGGGUAGCCCCACCCGUCAGCUCUCUCUCCCACACACACGGCGGCUCGGCCGCGACUCCGGUCGCCGCCGGCGGGGUCUGAGCUCGUGCUAAGGAGCGCAACAGCGUCGCGUCACUCUCGUGACUCCAAAGCUAGGCUCUAAACACGCCCUACCCGUUUCUCCCCACCUCGGCCACACGAAUGGCGGGCGACCAUGGCGGUUCCCGUAGACCGGCCGCUGUGGCUCGGUAGAGCGCAAAAGAAUUGGACAGAGAGGUUUGGAGAGGGAUAAGGAACACGGUGCUCACAUUACUACGGUGGGAGAAGCAGCAGAGAAGAUUGGCGACGGAGGCGGUGUCGUCGGGCGGACGCUCUGGUUCGGCGGCGUUAUUCCGGUGAACCUGCUCGUGCCCAAGGAAAAGUAGCAAGCGCAUGAGCAUCAGAAUGACAAGGAGAGGUAGGAACACCAACUAGAAUGGCGUGCAACCUUCGAGAACGGCUUGGCCACGGUGAGGGUUCCCACGGCGGCGCUCUGUCGCCGGCGGAGAGAAAGACAACGGAAAACGGGGCUCUGGUACGAAAGAGAAAGGAAUGCUAGGCUCAGGAGAUGCGCAAGGAAGUGACCAAUAUAGGUCCACGGUGAAUUUGGAUAAGGAUCAACCGUGACGGUGAAUUUUGGAUUGGAAUGGUUCACUGCUCGUCGGUGCUUCGGUGGUGAAAAUGGCGUCGGUGAGCGCAGGAUGGAAAGGCACGUUGCGCUCCACUUCGCCAGCAGGUGCUUCACCUUGCCACGGACGCGGACACGCGCUAGGACGGAGUGAAACGGCGGUUCACGGGUCGGCAACACCGAUCGUCGCUCGGCGGUACACCGCCAUGAACAGGAACCAAAGCUUAUCCCCCCUUGCCCCAUUUACCCCUUUUUGUCCUAUUGCAAAAAUCGACCAAAAGUUGAACUGAAGUCAAAUUUUUACCAAAAAGAAACUUGUGCAAAAUUUUGUAAGUUACAAAACAUCUUUUGGUGGCCAGAGCUAAUUCUGAGUGGAAAUUAGCUAAAUUUGCCAAACAGUUUUGAAAUUCAAGCUCAAUUCCAAAUUUUUGAAUUGGGGCAAAACAGAAUUUCCAAAAUUACUUUUGAUUUUAUAAAACAACUUGAAAAACUCCCAACAUGAAAGUUGUUCAACUUUUCAAGCCCUACAACUCUCAUGUUGACCAUUUUUCAAAAUUCCAAACAGAUUUUGAAUUGGAGAUUUAAGUUUGAAAAGGGGACACUUUCCGGAAAUCUGUAUUUUCAAAAUUACUUUGAAUUUUGUACUGAAACUUCAAAAACUCAAAACACCAAAGUUGUACAUCUUGACAAGACCUACAACUUUGCUUUUAAACUCAACUUCAAAUUCUGCUUGGUUUUUGAAUUGCACAAAAGGGGGCAAAUCUAGGGUUUUGGAAACUAGGGUUUCCCCCCUUAAGCUCUCGGAAAAACUUUCACCCAAAGUUUUUAAACUCCAAAACAAGCAUCCAUACAUAAAUUAAACACACUUUAAAUCCCUAAACACAUUCAUCCAAAAUAAACUUAUUUUAGGUUAAUGCAUCAGGGUUUACUUAACACUAAACUAUGCAAUGCUCAUGAUGACAUGUCAUGUUUUAAUUCGCUUAACACCAGAGUGUUACAGCUCUUUCCCCCUUAAAGAAAUCUCGUCCCGAGAUUUACCUUAAAGUCUAACUAAUGGAAAAGGAAAUUUGUCAAGCAUUUCCAAAACCCACCUUUACAAAAACAGGGGUAGAUUAUAACACUAUAGAUUACAAGGAUAAGACAGAAGAAAAGAACUCAGGAAAACGUUCUAAAAGAAACUCUUCGGAUUCCCACGUGGCUUCAUCUUCGGUAUGUUGAUUCCAUUGCACCUUGUAAUACUUGAUAGUUCUUCUACGAGUGACUCGAUCUUUUUGAUCCAGAAUCUUGAUAGGAUACUCUGAAUAUGUCAGAUCAGGCUUUAACUCAAUUCCUUCAACAGGAAUGAUAUGAUCAGGCACUCGAAGACAUUUCUUCAACUGAGAGACAUGGAACACAUUGUGUACUGAUAACAACUGUGGUGGUAAAUCUAGACGAUAUGCUACCUUUCCACAUCUUUCAAGGAUUUGAUAUGGACCUAUAUAUCGAGGUGCCAAUUUUCCUUUUACUCCAAAACGAGUGACUCCUUUCAUAGGUGACACUUUGAGGUAUACAUAAUCACCAACCUCAAAGUUAAGAGAUCGACGUCUCUUAUCGGUAUAACUCUUUUGCCUGGACUGUGCUAUCUUCAUGUUCUCUCGAAUGAGCCUGACUUUUUCUUCGGUUUCUUUGACUAAGUCAACCCCGAAGAGACUAUGUUCCCCAGGUUCUGACCAAUUCAAAGGUGUCCUGCACCUUCUGCCAUACAGAGCUUCGAAUGGUGCCAUCUUAAUGCUCUCUUGAUAACUAUUAUUAUAAGAGAAUUCUGCUAAAGGCAAACAUUCAUGCCAUUUCUCCGAAUAACUGAGCACACAAGAUCUUAACAUAUCUUCUAAGAUCUGAUUGACUCUUUCAGUCUGACCUCCAGUCUGUGGAUGAUAAGCUGUACUAUGCAGAAGUUUGGUACCCAAGGACUUAUGCAGAUGCUUCCAGAAAGCAUUCACAAACUGUGUCCCUCUAUCAGAUACAAUAGUCUUUGGAACACCAUGUAGACUCACAAUUCUGUUAAAGUAUAUCUUAGCAUAGUCAGAAGCUCGAUAAUCCUUUCUUACUGGAAUGAAAUGAGCUGAUUUGGUCAGACGAUCAACAAUGACCCAUAUGGAAUCAAACCCUCUCGAUGUUCUGGGUAGACCCACUAUGAAGUCCAUACUAAUGUCAUCCCAUUUCCAAGAUGGAAUUGGCAACGGUUGCAAUUCUCCAGCAGACCUGAGAUGAACUGCUUUCACCUUUUGACAAGUAUCACAUCUAGCCACAUAACUAGCAAUCUCAAGCUUCAUCUUAGUCCACCAGAAUCUUUGUUUUAAAUCAUGAUACAUCUUAUUACUACCUGGAUGGAUUGAAAACCUUGUUGCAUGAGCUUCAUCAAGAAUUUGUUUUCUGAGUUCAGGAACUUUUGGGACUACUAACCGAUCCUUGAACCAAACUACUCCAGCUUCAUCUAUUCUGAACUUGGAAUUCUGCUCAGACUGGAUCUUUUCUUUCAAAAAGCUCAUACCCUUAUUUUCUUGUUGGGCUGCAAUAAUCUGAUCUUUGAUGGAUGACUGAACUGUAAUGUUUACAAGACUUCCUUGUGGAAUCAUCUCAAGACCUAACUUUUCAAAUUCAUAACACAAGGUAAGGUCUAUAGGCUUGACUUCCAUACAAUUGCAAUGGCUCUUUCGACUGAGUGCAUCUGCCACCACAUUGGCUUUGCCUGGGUGAUAAUGUACCUCAAUAUCAUAAUCUUUUAUCAGUUCUAACCAUCUUCUCUGGCGCAUAUUCAACUCUGACUGAGUAAAGAUGUAUUUCAAACUCUUAUGAUCAGUAUAUAUGUGACAAGUAUUGCCCAAUAGAUAAUGUCGCCAGAUCUUCAGAGCAUGGACUACAGCUGCCAACUCUAGAUCAUGGGUUGGAUAAUGCUCUUCAUGACGCUUAAGUUGUCGUGAAGCAUAUGCAAUGACUCUGCCUUCUUGCAUUAGUACACACCCAAUGCCCUUGCCUGACGCAUCACAAUACACAUCAAAAGAUUUUUCAAUAUCAGGUUGAGCUAACACUGGUGCAGUGGUCAACAACUUUUUCAAGGUCCGAAAAGCUUCUUCACACUCGGAUGACCACACAAACUUGGUAUCAUUCUUUAGCAGUGUUGUCAUUGGUUUAGAGAUCUUGGAGAAGUCAGGGAUAAACCUGCGAUAAUACCCUGCUAAUCCUAAGAAACUCCGAACUUGAUGUACUGAAGUUGGUGACUUCCAGUCAAGAACUUCCUGAACUUUGCUUGGAUCUACUGCAACACCUUCAGCUGACAGGACAUGACCCAAAAAUUGGACUUCAUCUAUCCAGAAUUCACACUUGCUAAACUUAGCAUAUAACUGAUGUUCUCUCAGGCGAGUCAACACUAUCCUGAGAUGCUCUUCAUGCUCUUCUUUAGUUUUGGAAUAAAUGAGAAUGUCAUCAAUGAAUACCACCACGAACUUAUCUAACUCUGGCAUAAACACUGAAUUCAUCAGAUACAUAAAAUGUGCUGGGGCAUUUGUCAGACCGAAAGACAUGACCAGAUAUUCAUACAGACCAUAUCGGGUAGUGAAUGCUGUUUUCGGAACAUCUUUUGGCUUGAUCUUAAUUUGAUGAUACCCAGAUCUCAAGUCUAUCUUUGAAAAUACCUUAGCACCGGUUAGUUGAUCAAAGAGAAGAUCAAUACGGGGCAAAGGAUACUUAUUCUUGAUUGUUACCUCAUUCAAAGGACGAUAGUCCACACAUAACCUCAAGGUAUGGUCCUUUUUCUUCACAAAGAUUGCCGGACAACCCCAUGGUGAUGAACUAGGUCGAAUGAAACCUUUAUCCAUUAAUUCUUGCAACUGCGUUUUCAAUUCUGCUAAUUCUUUUGGUGGCAUUCUAUAAGCUCUUCUAGAUAUUGGUGCUGUCCCUGGCUUGAGCUCUAUUUCAAACUCCACAUCACGAUCUGGUGGCAAACCAGGUAAAUCUUCUGGAAACACAUCAGGAAACUCACAGACCACUGGAAUAUCCUUGAUUUCCUUGACAGAGAUAGCACACACUUGCUCAACUGCUCUCUUAAGAGUAGGAAGAUGGAUAAGAAGUUGAGACUUGCUAUUAGGUAAGUUGACCCUGAUAGUUCUAUUUAAGGUGUCUAUAACUGCACCUCUCUGGCUCAUCCAGUUCAUACCCAAGAUCACAUCUAUACUCGGAUCUUUUAACACUAUCAUGGAUGUUGGAAAUAUAUAUCCACCCAAGUCUAUUGGCACCUGAUGUACCAUUUCCUUAGUGCAUAGUCGACCCCCAGGUGACUGUAUAAAGAACUCAUCUUUGGUUGCACCAAUAGGUAUAUUAUGCUUUUCCGCAAAUGUUCUAUUCAUGAAAGUAUGUGAUGCUCCAGAAUCAAAAAGUGUAAGUGCUGGGUGUUGGGCAACAGGGAACAUACCAAGCAUCACUGGCUCUCCCUCAGGUAUAGCUUCAACUUGAGUAUGGAAAACCCUUCCUGUUUUCUGAGUACCUUUACCCUUCUGCGGAUUCUGGGCAGGACCUUUGUUCUGAUUUGUUUGUUGAUUUCCAACUGGCCUUGGUGCGUUGACAUUUGGAACACUUUGCCUUGGAUAUGGACAUUCACGAGAAAAAUGUCCACUCUUCCCACAAUUGUAACAAGGGUUGUUUGCAGCUUGUGGCAUUGACGGACGAAUGGCAGGAACAUUUGGCUGACGUUGAACAUUGAAUGGCAUUGUCGGCCUUACAAAACUCCUCUGCAUAUUCUGCUGCUGAGGCGGCUGAUAAGAAGGACGAUAAGAUGGGCGGAAUUGCUGAGCUGGAUGAUACAUGAGCCUCUGGCGCUUCUUGUUGCCGCCAGAUGAUCCAGACCCUGAGACAAACCCCUUCUUCUUCUUAGCCUCCUUAUGCUUGCGGUUCUUUUCUUCACUGGAGAUAGCAAUGUUCACUGCCUCAUGAUAAGAUAUAUUGCCACAUGAUGCCAUCAUCAGUUGAAGCUUUGUAUUCAAGCCUCUCAUGAAACAAUCCUUCUUCUUUUCAUCAGUGUUGACUUGCUCAAUUGCAUAUUGGGACAGAUGAUUAAACUUUCCAAUAUACUGUAUGACUGAGUCAUCCCCCUGACGGAGAGCUAAGAACUCUUCGAGCUUCAUUUUCAUAACUCCCUUGGGAAUGUAAUGAGCCCUGAAGGCUUCCUUGAAUUCUCCCCAAGUGAUUCGGUGGCGGGCUGGUUGAACAGCCAGUAAAUUUUCCCACCAAACUCCUGCGGCUCCUCUCAGCUGCUGAGCGGCAAAAGCUGGCUUCUGAGUUUCAGUACAGUUGAUGAGACUGAACUUUUGAUCCAUAGUGCGGAGCCAAUCCUCAGCUUCAAGAGGUUCAUCGGCUUUUGUGAAAACUGGGGGACGAGUAUCUGUGAAGUCAACAUAUGUGGUUUCUUCUCGGUUAUGGCGACCACGGCCACGCUGACCAGCAUUCUGAUUUUGUGCUAACAGAGUUGUUGCAUUGACCAAUGCUGCAAUUGCAUCAGCCAAAGAGGGUGGAACUGGUGGUGCAUUAGGAAAAUCAUCCCCACCCUGGGAAGAACUAGCUCCAUGGUUGUUAGCAGACAUCUGUUUAAAAACACAUCACACUUUAAUUAACAUGCUUACUUAACCAUCAUACAUCAUGACUUACAUAACACAAACACGUUCAUCUUAUUUAUCAUACAAGUCCGCUCCUGGGCAGGACUACUGAAACCACUAUCUUACACAACUUCCCAUACUAGAGGUUUUCUGACUAACUAAGUUACAAAGUCAGAAGAUCACACUCGGUCAUACUUCUUGCCUUCUCAACACCUAGUCGUCAUCCAUCUCCGACUCACUGGUGGUAACACCCUCAUCUGGAGUGGGAGUUCCUGGUUCUUCUGCUUCAUCCUCAGAAGUAUCACUAUCCACUUGGAUGACAACUGGUCCUUCCUCUGCUGCUUCAGGAGCCUCGGGUGGAUUGAGGGCAUCCUGCAGCUGGUGCACUUCCUCAUGGAGGGUGUUGGCAUAGGCCUCAAGAUUGACCACAUACCCCGCCAUAUGGUACAGCUGAACUUCCAUGUUGAUGUUGUCAGUGAGCAUCAGGCGCAGAUCAUUCUUCAUAAGCCUGUAGGUCCUUGGCGAAGGAGGACCUCCGCUAGUGUCACUCCCGUUUCCGUCGCUGGAGUUGUCAGUGCUACUGUCGCUGCUAUCGGAGGGUGGCGGAUCCCUUGAUGCCAACUGGUGCCUGGGGACACGACCUCCGGUGGACUUGCGAGCGGUUAGGCGGGUACGUGCCAUCUGCCAAAAUAUUUUUUAUUUUGAAUAUUAGAACUAUAUAUGUUCCAAGGUUAAAGAAUAGAGUUUUACAAUUAGAUGGACACUUUACCUCUAAUUAUUAACAACUUUAAGGAGGGAAAGUUAAUUACAUGUUAUCAAUAAUGAUGCAUGAAACGUACUUACGAACCAAACAUACAUCAAACAAAUAAUUAACUUUAAGUUAGGCACUUGAUAUAAAAGUGCAUAAACUUUCUUUUCAUAAAUAGGGCAUUCUUAUACUAUCAUAAGCAUUGUUCCUUGUAUAUAUAAAUAUCACCAUAAUCACACUAAAAACAUAUCCAUUUAGAGAGAAGGAUAAGUCUAAAGAAUGAAUUGAGACAAGUUAGAAACAUAAGACAAGCUUAGAAGCAAUUUGGACCCAAACUAAUUUGAAAUUUAGUUUGACUCAAAAGCUUUUGAAGUUUUCAAAAUCGAAUACUGCUAUACUUUCUAAGGGAAACCUGCUCUGAUACCAGCUGUGGCAGAACCUCCUGAAUUAAAUGGCCCACAUGCACACAUCAUUGUCCCAAAGACUUCUGAUCGACGUGCACGAGUUCCAAAUGACUCAAGAAGUCUGUCGGGUGUCCUCGGGAAACCCGAAUCAUCCACGUAACAAUCUUUUCAGGAAUUCCCUCAUCAAGCAUCACAGUAUUACAACAUUUCAUAGAUAAGAGAAAUCAGAGUAAAAGCGGAAAGGUUACAUAACAUAGAUUGAAACUUAAGUUCAUAGUUUACAAACCAUAAGUAUUUGAUACAUAAAGGCUUCGGAACUUUAUUAUUACAUAAACCAUAGAUUCACACAACGACUUUUACUUGCACAAGGUCACACAUCAGAAACCUCAUCGUCACUUUCCUCCACAAGAGUAAAGUAACCAUGGCCAUCAAAAGGAUUAUCAAAAGACUCACCUGCAACAUGGGUUAAGAAACCCUGAGUACAAAAGUACUCCACAAGACUUAACCGACUAUAAAAGAGAUGAAGACUCAGGUAUGUAGGCUAUAGGGAUUCAAGGUAAAGCUUUAUCAAGAUCAAGUAUUUCUUUUGCAUAAAAGCUUACUAAGAGUAAAGCUUACUUUCAAGUUUUAACUCAAGAUUAUCACUUAUUGCUAGCCAAGAUCAUUAUCCAACUUUCAUAAGCAAAACACCUCUUUCUUAUACCAAAGAUUCACUUAUUACUACGAUGAUGGUACGAGGAUUGAGGCUCCAUAUCCGAGGAAACACGGCGAUUCGAAUCGAUUAAACCCAGCUGGGGAUUCAGUACCACACGACAUAUGUAGAACUUAAUCUUGCAUACGUCAACCUUUUCUAUAGAUCCUCCCAUACAAGAACGGGUCCAGCGUCACCCGAGAGUACAGUACACCACCAUCCUACAGCCAAUCUAGAUGUUUCCCGGUCAUCUCAGAUCCGUAAGGUGGGUACACGCUACUCUCGCCAUCUUUCCACUCCCAGUACGCGGUUAGCCGUUCUCAAGUAUCGGAAUAGCUAUAGAUAAGGCUUACCGCCGCAUGUGGGCUGUACUCAAAGUUCUCAAUCACAACAGGCCAAUCAACGGUACGGUCCUUAAUCGACUCAGUUGGAGACACUACUUUAAGACUCCAUUCUUAAAGCAAGUCCACCGACCGGUCUCAAAUUGAACAUCAUUAACUAUAAAAAUAUUCCACAACAACCCUUCAAACUCUUUCAUUUGAAAACUUAUCUAAUAAGCAGGGCUAAGCAUACUAAGCAUUUUCAUAAAGCAAGUACCAAGGUUAAUAUGGAAAUCAUCGAGGUAGAUAAUGCAGCAAAUAGGAUUCACUCAACUCCUAUUCACCUAAUGCAUCAUAUUAACUCAAGUGAUAUAAAUAACUUUAUGAAAAUACAAGGGUAGGGUUUAAUGUCCGGGGCUUGCCUUGGUCGGAGGAGACGUUCGGCAAUUCAACAACACCCGAAGGAUCCACAAACUCGGAAGAAAUCCACUGAGGAUCAGAUUCUUCCGGAGCGUAUUCUAUACGUAAAAGUGCAUAUGCAUGAUUAUGAUAUAUUCAAGGUAUGAUAAAGACAAAUUACAUGGUCUUGGAUAGAAACAACAAACUAUGAUUAUCUCGAGUACAAUUUACCUUCACGGUAUAGAAACAACUAACUUAGCUACCCAAAAACAUGGAUUAUUUCUAACAAGUUUUAUCAUCUUUAUUAAGCAAUAAAGUGAAUCUAUCAUAUCAUAAAGAUUAUUUAUAUGAAAAUAAACCAUAACCAGGGAGCAUAUCAUGCUAAGUAACCAGGGUUGUCAAACAAUCCAAAACAUCACCCAAACCCUAAAGGGAUUAAUUAUUUCUAUUUCUUUUAUAAGCAUUUUAAAUAGCUUUAUUAAGAAACAUAGCAUACUUUAUCAAACAGAGCUGAAAUUAAUCAUGAAGCUAGAUAACAGUUACACAAAAUCACAUAUUAAAUUUCAUGAUUUUUGGAUAUACCCAAAAUUGAUUAAAAAUCAUGGAAGAUUUAUUUAUUAAUAAACAGAGGCAAUUUUUACACACAUGCAAACUACCAGAAAAUAUAACCAAAUAUUUUUCAUGUGUUCUACUCAUUUUAAGGAAGCCAUACAAAAAUUCUCAUAAUUUUUGGAUUAGCACAUGAUUUAAUACAUAAAUUCAAACAUAAUUCAAAAACUGCAGAAAAAGAAAAAGAAAACACUGCAGCGAAAUGGCCGGAAUUCGGCCCGCAGGUCGGCCCACUCCAGUUCGGCCCGCGCGGACGCUGCGCGCGCCCUCUCUCCCUCUCACACAGCCGCUGACGGGGUAGCCCCACCCGUCAGCUCUCUCUCCCACACACACGGCGGCUCGGCCGCGACUCCGGUCGCCGCCGGCGGGGUCUGAGCUCGUGCUAAGGAGCGCAACAGCGUCGCGUCACUCUCGUGACUCCAAAGCUAGGCUCUAAACACGCCCUACCCGUUUCUCCCCACCUCGGCCACACGAAUGGCGGGCGACCAUGGCGGUUCCCGUAGACCGGCCGCUGUGGCUCGGUAGAGCGCAAAAGAAUUGGACAGAGAGGUUUGGAGAGGGAUAAGGAACACGGUGCUCACAUUACUACGGUGGGAGAAGCAGCAGAGAAGAUUGGCGACGGAGGCGGUGUCGUCGGGCGGACGCUCUGGUUCGGCGGCGUUAUUCCGGUGAACCUGCUCGUGCCCAAGGAAAAGUAGCAAGCGCAUGAGCAUCAGAAUGACAAGGAGAGGUAGGAACACCAACUAGAAUGGCGUGCAACCUUCGAGAACGGCUUGGCCACGGUGAGGGUUCCCACGGCGGCGCUCUGUCGCCGGCGGAGAGAAAGACAACGGAAAACGGGGCUCUGGUACGAAAGAGAAAGGAAUGCUAGGCUCAGGAGAUGCGCAAGGAAGUGACCAAUAUAGGUCCACGGUGAAUUUGGAUAAGGAUCAACCGUGACGGUGAAUUUUGGAUUGGAAUGGUUCACUGCUCGUCGGUGCUUCGGUGGUGAAAAUGGCGUCGGUGAGCGCAGGAUGGAAAGGCACGUUGCGCUCCACUUCGCCAGCAGGUGCUUCACCUUGCCACGGACGCGGACACGCGCUAGGACGGAGUGAAACGGCGGUUCACGGGUCGGCAACACCGAUCGUCGCUCGGCGGUACACCGCCAUGAACAGGAACCAAAGCUUAUCCCCCCUUGCCCCAUUUACCCCUUUUUGUCCUAUUGCAAAAAUCGACCAAAAGUUGAACUGAAGUCAAAUUUUUACCAAAAAGAAACUUGUGCAAAAUUUUGUAAGUUACAAAACAUCUUUUGGUGGCCAGAGCUAAUUCUGAGUGGAAAUUAGCUAAAUUUGCCAAACAGUUUUGAAAUUCAAGCUCAAUUCCAAAUUUUUGAAUUGGGGCAAAACAGAAUUUCCAAAAUUACUUUUGAUUUUAUAAAACAACUUGAAAAACUCCCAACAUGAAAGUUGUUCAACUUUUCAAACCCUACAACUCUCAUGUUGACCAUUUUUCAAAAUUCCAAACAGAUUUUGAAUUGGAGAUUUAAGUUUGAAAAGGGGACACUUUCCGGAAAUCUGUAUUUUCAAAAUUACUUUGAAUUUUGUACUGAAACUUCAAAAACUCAAAACACCAAAGUUGUACAUCUUGACAAGACCUACAACUUUGCUUUUAAACUCAACUUCAAAUUCUGCUUGGUUUUUGAAUUGCACAAAAGGGGGCAAAUCUAGGGUUUUGGAAACUAGGGUUUCCCCCCUUAAGCUCUCGGAAAAACUUUCACCCAAAGUUUUUAAACUCCAAAACAAGCAUCCAUACAUAAAUUAAACACACUUUAAAUCCCUAAACACAUUCAUCCAAAAUAAACUUAUUUUAGGUUAAUGCAUCAGGGUUUACUUAACACUAAACUAUGCAAUGCUCAUGAUGACAUGUCAUGUUUUAAUUCGCUUAACACCAGAGUGUUACAGUGAUAAAUAGAGAAGACUGCAACCGUAGUCUCCUUCUAACCUUGGUAAGGAUGAUCUACUGUUCUAAUGGGGAGGCUAACGGAAUCUAGACACCACAAAGGAUGUUCAACCCGCACCUAUAAACCCUAUCCUUCCUGCUAACGAGAUGUGAUCUACAAAGGUAGCUCGGAAAUGUCACGUUCCUCACUACUACCACGGUCCAGCUAGUCAGGGAAUAUCUAUGAGUACCCCAGCCUAAACACCACGUUUACGCCAGCAAUGAUUACUCUAAACUCUACGCGAAGAGAUUAAAGUAAACUCAUAAACCAUAAGAACAAUAAAACAAGAAUUUAUUAGAAUUUAGAAGUCGAAUUACUGAAAAAUCCUAGGAGCAAGCUUCGGGUUAGGAGAACUUGAUCCCGCAGGUACAAGCUUGGAGUAGACACCGACAGGCCGGGCUUCCUCCACUCUACACCUCCACUCUAUCUCUCUCAAUCUAGUAGAAACUAGAAGAUCUAUUUCUACCUUACAUUGAUUGCUAAGCCUAAAAAAAAUAUUAAUUAGAGAAGAGGUUUUCCUUCGAGGGCACCCCUCAGUCUCUAUGAUAAUUUCUUCAUGUCUUCUCCAGGGGCCAGGGGGGCCUUGCUUAUAUAGUCCUCCCCUUCUAUGCGUUUUUGGGUCGAUAGACGAGGUGGUACUAUGUUUUUCUUGAUCCAAUAGGUCGGUGGAAUAUCCCGAACGAAAGAGUCCUGAUUUGGCUCCAGCAGGGGGGCGGGCGCCUAGGCUACCAGGGCGGGCGCCCUGGGCCUGGCCCAGUUUUGCCUCCGCUUCGGUCUCUUGGCUUCUGGAGUCUUCUAGAUGAUGUAAAAUUGCGCGGUGCGUUGAUAUCUCUAUGUAAUCCUGACAUGUGGGCCUUUCUUCCUUAUUUCCUGAUAGCCCCCUGCAGAUAUAGAUAAACAACAAAACUCGUGGAAUUCUGUCAGAUCAAACCCUAAUUCUAGGUGAUGGUUGCAUAUUGGUCCUUUCUCUUGUUUAUUUGAUAAUUAAAAUUGAUACUUAAGAACCGUCAACAGCCUCUAUGGGCCAUCAGAUUAGAAACAGACGGCCUCGAUCUAAUCUGGGAGAAAGAGUGGGUGGGCUCUGGCUGGCCGGCCGUCGACGCGAGAGUUCGGCGCGGCGGCUCCAUGCCCGCCGCCGUAAAGCUCGCCGGGGUUCGCUAAACCCACGAUUGGGUCCACUAUUUGCCAAACCAAACACACCAGGAGAAAGCGGGGGCGAUCGUGGGCUCACCUAGGGUCCUUACGCGUAUGGAGCAAGCUCGGCGGGAUCCGCUUCUUGACGCCAGUGGUGGCUGGGGCUUCCCUAACGCGUUUAGAUCGAAAAGAUGCAUGUGGGGCGGGACUAGGAACUCUAUAGGGGCUCAGUUUGCGCGUUUUGGCAAGGAAUCCCGAGAAAUCGGGUUCGGUACGCUCUCGACCGUGUCCGGCUCGCUUACGGCGCAAGGUAGGAGACGACUGACAGUUAGGUCCCGGCUGUCGAUGUGAGGAGAGAGGGGGAAGGGCGGGCGCGCGCCUGGGCCACACGAAGGAAAUUGGGCCGCGGGGAAGGGAAGGGGGAGAGGAGGGAAACGCGCUGCUGGGCCGCGACUUUAGCUGGGCUGGGCCGAGGCCGAGAGGGGGGAGUUUUCCUUUUUCUUUUUCUUUUGUUUUGUUUUGUUUUGUUUUUUUAUUUCAAUGCCAUUUUGAAACAUUUUCAAAAGCAUUUAAAUUCAGUUUGAAGUUUGGUAAAAAUCACUCAUCUCAAAAUCAAAUGCACCGGCAUGUAAUCACAGAAAUGUUUCUACAUCCUAUGUUAAGUUUUAGCUUUAUUAAAAAAAAUAUUAUUUUCCCUAUAUUCCAUGAGCACAAAAUUUCAUAAAUAAAUCAUUUUAGCUCUAUUCCCAAGAAAACAAUUUUUUUAGGGUGUUACAAAUCUUAUCCAUUGCGUCAUGAAGAUAGUGUUAUUGAGGAUGAAGAAGGAGAGUAGCUACCUGCAUACUACCCAUGACAAUGCAGAAGAUUGCCAUUGAUGAUCACACGCUCUCUUGUAGGACAAGCCUAGUGCUGAAGCUCAAAGCCUUGUGGGAGGAACAACACUAGACUCAAUGCAAAAUGGUAGCGAUGGAUUGUUGAAGUGGAGAUGUAGGCGACGCCGCUAGAACUAUUGCUUGGGGCAGUUGGGGUUUCUGAAUUGCUCGGGGAAGUGUAAGAGAUGGCACAAUCUUUGAGGAUGGUUGCUCCACCAAUUAAGGAGUUUGGAGAUGCUUUUCUUUCCUUUGUUUUAGGUUUAACAUUAGAGAUUAUCUUGGACCACCAAAAAAACUCUUGGGCUCGACCGAGUGAGACACCAUCGAGCUUUAUGUCCAUAAUUGAAGCAGGCCUUGCAACGGAUUUGCUGACAUCACACAAAGGAUGAAUGGCCUUGGCCAAGGCAAUGUUGACAACAAGAGAAGCCCAAGGCGGGUUUGGAAAUGGAAGGCGAAGAAUACGGUAAAUCUCUUGUCAGUUCAAAAUUUGAAAGUUUAGGAGUAGAAGAACGCGGGAAAAGAUCACGGCUCAGAUCAACAACAACCAGAGGAGAAAGCCUUGAUAGAAUGCGAUUGGAAACCACUUUGGAACUGACCGGACUAUGAGCACUGAGCACAUUCAAACCAAAACAAAGAAUUAAACUCCGAGAAUCAACUAGAACCUUAACGUUGAAUUCAAAACAGAUAGUUUAGGGAAGAGGAUGGACUUUUAUUAGAGGUGAUCUUUGAAUCAACUGAGGAGCAAAUUGCACUUUUUUAAGACAUGGAAAUUCUCAUGUACUGUUUAGAGAAAACUCUAGUCCACUCUUUCAUGUUCUUCCUCCACAAAUGCAUUUUUUUCCCUUUGCUAGUGGACCACAACAUUGCGCUAGAGAUAAAAAAUAAGCAUAAAAACUCUUCCUAAUAAAUCACUUAUUUUGUACUCCUUCCAUUCCAAAUUGUAAGUCAUUCCAAGAAUCUUUGAGAGUCAAACUUUUCUAAAUUUUACCAAAUUUAUAUGAUAAAAUAAUACUCCCUCCAUACUGAAAAACCAGUCGUUCUAGGCCCAUCGAUCGUUUUCGUAAAACUUGUCGCUGUGGCAUCGAGGCUAGCGUUUUUGACGCGAUUACCCCUGGUCAGCUACCGCCUCCCAUCCGUUCGGCUGCCCACUCAACCACGCGCAUGCACAUGCUCCUCGUUACUCGACCGUAUUUAUUCUCGGCCGCGCAUCCGUUUAGCUGCCGCAUUUAACCACGCGUGCAUGCUCUCCUCAGUUCGUCUCUCUCGCAUGCCGCAUGCAACCACGAAUGGCUCGCUCAUGUCCUCAGUUCGUCUCUCUCGCAUGCCGCAUGCAACCACGAAUGGCUCUCCUCAGUUCGUCUCUCUCGCAUGCCGCAUGCAACCACAAGUGGCUCGCUCAUGUCCUCAGUUCGUCUCUCUCGCAUGCCGCAUGCAACCACGAAUGGCUCGCUCGUCUGCACACGCUCUCGCAUGCCGCAUGCAACCACGAAUGGCUCGCUCGUGUCCUCAGUUCGUCUCUCUCGCAUGCCGCAUGCAACCACGAAUGGCUCGCUCGUCUGCACACGCGCUCGCCGCUCGUCGCGUCCUUGCUGCUUGUCGUGUCCAACGCUAGCCAACGCGCCAGGCCCAGCAAAAAAAUCUACAGCCACUGGGGCUCGAUCUCAGCUCGCCACUCUCAAAACCCCAUGCGAUAGCCAGUUGGGACGAUUUACUUUCUCGUACAUGAGCACCCGUAACCGUAUUUAUUAGGGCAGACAUGGUAAACUAACCUUCAAUUAAUCACUCCUUGGUUACCACAAUCAUGUCCUAAACGUUAGGUUUUUCAGUAUGGAGGGAGUAAUUAAUAUGAUACCAACUAAGUAUGAAUAGAUUCUUCAUUAAUUAUAUUUUCAUAGUAUACUCACUUUACGUUACAAAUCUUAGUAUUUCUCUCCAUAAUUUUGGUCAAACAUGAAAAUGCUGACUCUCCAAUAUUCUUAGAAUGACUUACAAUUUGGAAUGGAGGGAGUAUAUGUGAAAACCCACCGACUUGUUGGCAAGCAAGAAGCGAAAAUGACAAUUAUUAAGGAAUUUGGCAUGAAAACAAAAGCAGCUAAUCCACCAAGACACGAGGUCAGUGCAAAAGCCACACUAUCCUUAGUGAGCUGAUAACUUUAUCAAUGAAAAGUAACCAGAAGAAAGACACACUACUAAAAAAAGCUUUUACAACGUUUAGUUUGGGCCCUCCGAGGCGGGCAGACUGGUUAACCGCCUCGGUUAAUGCUUGUAAUUAAUUGAGGCGGUUAUUUUUUAUUAACCGAGGCGGUCACAGUCAACCGCCUCGCAAAAUUGAUUUAAUAAGGCAGUUAUAUAGUAACCGCCUUCUAAAAUCAAUUAACUGAGGCGGUUUUUAUAAUCAGACUGCCUUGGAAAAUUAGGACAUUUUCGGAGGCGGGCCUCUUAAAUUGGCCCGCUUCGGUUAAUAUGGCUGAGGCCCAAGACGCCCAGUUGAGGCCCGAUAGGCGUGACAGGUAUAAAUCCCUAACUGAGGGUUUCUAUCCCACAUUGGCUCCAUCUCCUCUCCUCUCUCCCAUGCGAGCGGCGCCCUCUCUCUCUCUAUCCCGACACUCCUGCUUUCCCCACUCAUCUCCUCUCCCUCGCUCCUCCCACGCUCGAAGCCUUGCCUCCACUCUCAACAGCAUCCCCCCUCUCCAUGGUGGCGGGCAGUGGGCGGUGGCGUGGGGUUGUGGCGGCUCGCGGUGCGAGGCGAUGGAGGCUUGGUGGCGGCGGUGUGAGGCGCGCGAUGGAGGCACGGUGGCGCGGGGCACGGGGUUGCGAUGGCACAAGGAGCGAGCAGCGAGAUCUGGUCCCCUCUUCCUCUACGGCAGUGGAUCCGGUCUGCUCCUUCUUCUCCCUGGCUGGAUCCGAUGGAGGGCGGCCAAAUCCGGUGGAGGGUGGCUGGAUCCAUGGCAGGGCCGCCCCAGGCGAUGGAUCGAGGACCGACGUGCUUCCCAGCAAUGGAUCCAACGAAGGGGAGGAGGAUCCGGCAAGCAACGAUGGCGGCGCCCCAUGGAUGGGCUCGGCGGGCCCAUGGAUGGGCUCGCUGGGCUUAUCCAUGUUUUUUUUCUUUUUUAUUUGAUUUACCGAGGCGGACAGCAAACCGCCUCGGAAAAUGUCACAUUAACUGUGACCUUUGAUCCGAGACGGUUGGAAAAACCGCCUCGGUAAAGCUUAUUUGCCCGCCUCGGUUAAAAAUUGUGGCAGAACCUCCUGAAUUAAGUGGCCCACAUGCACCCAUCAUUGUCUCAAAGACUUCUGAUCAGCGUGCACGAGUUCCAAAUGACUCAAGAAGUCUGUCGGGUGUCCUCGGGAAACCCGAAUCAUCCACGUUUUAACUCAUACAGGAUCAACAUGGAGUUACCACAACAUUACAACAUCUGUUACAAAAAUAACUUACAUCAGAGUGCGGAAGGUUUAUAACUUAAUUUACAACAUGUGAUGAAUUAGAAACUUAACUAAAAUUUUAAAAGGUGUGUAGAGUAGCGAAAGCAUCUUAGGUGAAGCUUCUAAGGUAGAAGAGGUGGAUAAAUCAUGUCGCGCCCACCGACAUGACCUCCAAAAGCAGUCUAAGUCAGCACCUGCAACAGGGGUUAUAAAACCCUGAGUACAAAAGUACUCAACAAGACUUAACCGACUAGAAAAGAGGUGAAGACUCGGGUAUGCAGGCUAUAGGGAUUCAAGGUAAAGCUUUAUCAAGAUAAAGCAUUUCUUUUGCAUAAAAGCUUACUAAGAGUAAAACCUACUUUCAAGUUUUAACUCAAAAUCAUCAUUUAUGACUAACCCAAAACUAUUAUCAAACUUUCAUAAGCAUACCACCUCUUUCUCUUACCAAAGAUCCAUUUAUUACUACGAUGAUGGUACGAGGAUUGAGGCUCCAUAUCCGAGGAAACACGGCGAUUCGAAUCGAUUAAACCCAGCUGGGGAUUCAGUACCACACGACAUAUGUAGAACUUAAUCUUGCAUAUGUCAACCUUUUCUAUAGAUCCUCCCAUACAAGAACGGGUCCAGCGUCACCCGAGAGUACAGUACACCACCAUCCUACAGCCAAUCUAGAUGUUUCCCGGUCAUCUCAGAUCCGUAAGGUGGGUACACGCUACUCUCGCCAUCUCUCCACUCCCAGUACGCGGUUAGCCGUUCUCAAGUAUCGGAAUAGCUAUAGGUAAGGCUUACCACCGCAUGUGGGCUGUACUCAAAGGUCUCAAUCACAACAGGCCAACAACGGUACAGUCCUUAAUCGACACAGUUGGAGACACUACUUUAAGACUCCAUUCUUAAAGCAAGUCCACCGACCGGUCUCAAGUUUAAACAUCAUUAACCAUAAAAGUAUUCCACAACAACCCUUCAAACUUUCUCAUUUGAAAACCUAUCUAAUAAGCAGGGCUAAGCAUACUAAGUAUUUUCAUAAAACAAGUAUCAAGGGUAAUAUUGAAAUCAUCAAGGUAGAUAAUGCAGCAAAUAGGAUUCACUCAACUCCUAUUCACCUAAUGCAUCAUAUUAACUCAAGUGAUAUAAAUAACUUUAUGAAAAUACAAGGGUAGGGUUUAAUGUCCGGGGCUUGCCUUGGCCGGAAGGGUUUAAAUUUCAUACCAUUUGUAUAAGUAUAGCAAAUUCCAUAAAAAAGAUAAAUUUCCAUCACAAGGAAGCAUGUAACAACAAGAUAAAUAAGAAACUCGAUAUGUUCUACACACACAUAGCUAAAUUAUGUAUCUAUAUGAUAUAACAACCUCAUAUAAAGGUAGAGGAACCAUAUUUUACAUUUAUUCAUUUUUAGUUUAAUUGUAAACUAUUUAAUAAGCACUACACAAGAUAAAUCAAUAACUUAAUCAUAUGUCAUCCAAAGAAUCUAAAAACUUAACCACAGCACACACACAUAAUCAUUAAUCUACCAUAAAAUUUUCAUCUUAAAAGAAGCUAUACAGCAAUAGAUAUGAAUUUCUUCCUUUUAAGCAUAAUUAAAAGACAUAAUUCAUAACUAAUUAUUUUACUACAAAACAUGGACAGUUUCACAUUUUUAAUAAAAACGAGACAUCUUAAGGAGUACAACAAAAAUUGGUUCACCAAAAUUGGAGUUAACAAACUCCAGAUAUGAAUUUUCAAAGAUUCAACAAAACAUCCACAAACAAGUCCUUAUAGCACUAUUCACCUGAGUCACAGCCUGUGCAAUUAGACCCCUGGAGAACAUCAAAUUGUUGCCCGAAGUCCCUGGUCGCGAACUGGAAACAGGGAACUCGCCGGAGAUCGUGGUUUCGGCGUUGGAAAGCUCGUCGGCGGCAUUGGAGCAGCGGGGAAGCUUGCCCGGACUAGUGCGCACCUGCUGGUGGCCGUAGCUUGUCCCGCAAUGGCUCGAGGUGGCCUGGCCACGUUGAGGUGCUCCUCGGCGGCGUUUUUGGCCGGAGUGGAGGAAGAACGGACGUAGCCGGGGCUAGAAAUGGUUAGAGCUUGCACCAAGGGGCGCAAUCGGUGGCUUGGUUCGAGGCGGAGCUGCUGGUGCACUCGAACGGCUUGGAAACGGAGCGAGGGACGCGAAUUGGAGGAGCGCAGCAAGGUCGCCGGCGUCGGGUGCAAGGGGAAAGAACGAACGCGUCGUCCAGUGGGAAGGCUUUAUCGCGAAAAGGAAGGGACGCCGUGCCUCCACGUCGUCUGGCGACGCAGGCAGCCAAGCAGCUGCGUGCCUUCACGCACGCAGGCGGUGCUGCGCGGACGGCCGCCGCGAUGGACAGGGCUAUCGGCUACUGUAGCCAUGAUUAUCUCCACAUUUCUGAUUUUCUUUAAAUUACUCCAACAUUUUGAAUAGAAGUCAAAUUUUGGUCAAAACAAAAGUUUCCCAGAAUUUUGCACUCUACAAAACUUAUUUAAGGACCCAGAGCUAACUUUGAAUGGAAGAGGAUGAAUUUGGGCAAAAAAAUUUGAAAUUCAAAUCUCAAAUUGGGGAAAAACUGAUUUGAAUUGGGGGCAGAAUAGAAAUUCCAAAAUUACUUUUGAUUUUUCUCAAUAACUUGAAAAACUCCCAAAAUAAAAGUUGUUCAUUUUGAUGAGCCCUACAACUUUCAUGUUGGUCACUUUUCAAGAUUCUAAACAUAUUUUGAAUUGGGGAUUCAAAUUGGAAAAGGGGACAAUUUCUGGAAAUCUGUAUUUUCAAAAUUACUUUCAAUUUUGUAUUGAAACAUCAAAACCUCAAAACACCAAAGUUGUACACCUUGACAAGAUCUACAACUUUGCUUUUGAACUCAUCCCCAAAUUUUGCUUAGUUUUUAUGUUACACAAAAGGGGGUAAAAACUAGGGUUGAAAUUAGAGGUUUUUCUUAGCUAUUCCCUUACCACCCUCCUUAACUAGGGAUUAAACAACCAUCACAAGCAUCACUUCACAAGAUAAACACACUUUAAUUCCCUAAGCACAAGCAAUCAAGAUAAAGUUGUUUUAAUUUGAUGCAUCAAGUGGUGCUUAACAAAUAUGCUUUGAAAUGCUUAUGAUGACAUGAUCCAGUUUUAGUGUUCGUAACAUCAGGGAUGUUACAAAAAUUAAUGUAGUAGUGACAAAAGCUCCCUCUACGAAGGAUUAGUGUGAUCAACCAUACAACCAAACAAUUGAAGAAGCUCUUUUCAAAAUAUCUUCCCAUGGGAGAAAUCCAAUUUGUGCUUCAAAGCUAAAGGAAGAUCCAUCAAGAAAUCCAUGAAGAUGAAGAGAGAAGAAAACCUGAGAGGAUGCCAGAGCAACACAACGACAACAAUGGUGAAGCGGCAUCACAGUUGGGGAAGUGGAAGUGUCAGACUGACUCCAACAGACGACGCAUCUCGGUACCCAAACACAAAAUGCCUACUCCGCGAUGUUUUAUCGCAAAAAAAGACGCACCAACAGAUGACGCAAAUGGGGAACGCAUUUUGGGUGAGACGCGAUGGAGAACGCAAAUUUGCGUCGCUCUCUCUCCUCGACCCAAAUCUCAGACGUGCCUAAGCUAGGUUGGAUCACGGUAGCACGUCGUCCAUGGCGUUGCACCCUGGAUGAGGAGCAGCCGGCCGCGUGAGGCGGGCCCUUGCGACAGCGGAGCGGCCGCCGAGGCGAGGCUGGUCUACGGCGAGCCGAGGAACGGCCGACUCAACGAGGCGGGUCCAUGGCCAGCACAGCGAGGCAGGCCCGCGACGGGGAGCGGCCGGCGUGGCCAGACGAGACCACGGCGGGGCGAGGCGGGUCCAUGGUCGGCGUGGGGAGAAGCGGCCAGCGGGCGCGAGGCUCUGCUUUUGCGGUUGGUCGGCGUCGGGAGAUGGGGAGCAACAGGGAGAGCGUGUGGCGGCCGCAGGCGGGGAAGAAACGGGAGAGCGUGGGGCUGCGCGAGGGGAAGAAGGAGCGACCGCGCUGACGAAGAAGGAGACGCGACGCAGAGAGUGUGUGGUGGCCGUGCGUGGGCAAGACGGGGGAGCUUGCUCUGCUUUUGCGUUUGUUGUUGGAGAAGAUAAUGUUUGGGUCGCAUGACCCUUUGCUGUGCGUUACCCAAAUCGUUGAAUGAGUAUCAUGUUUGGGUUGUCCUUGUUGGAGAUAGCCUCACGGUGGGAAAGAGAGCUAUUUUUGUGUACUACUUGAAUGUUGUAGACUAUAUUGAGAACUACAACUUUGUUGGUAUAUAUCAUGACAACAUCUAAGGUUGAUUGAAAAUUUGAAAUUUCAAAAUUUAAGAAACUAAAACAAUAUUUUGACACUCCAAACAGUUUGAAAUUAGAAACUUCUCAGCCAAAAAGAUGUAGAUUGCGCCGAGGGCUGCAAUUUUGAUAUAAUGUUUGUCUUCGUGUGACUUCACAUGAAGUAGUUAUGAAUUAGUUGGGUUGAUGGACUAGUAUUCUUAGUGUACUUAGAAAAGACUAAGGCCUUGUUUAGUUCAAAAAGUGAAAAGUUUUCGGUACUGUAGCACUUUCGUUUGUUUGUGACAAAUAUUAUCCAAUCAUGGACUAACUAGGAUCAAAAGAUUUGUCUCGUGAUUUAUAGCUAAACUGUGUAAUUAGUUUUUGUUUUCGUCUAUAUUUAAUGUUUCAUGCAUGUGCUACAAGAUUCGAUGUGACGGGGAAUCUUGAAAACUUUUUUGUUUUCAGAGUGAAGUAAACAAGGCCUAAACGACUUUAGAACUAUAAGGGAGUACUAGUGUACUAGCAAGUUCGUGGCUGUGCAUACCGCAUACCUGUCAGUUGCAUAUGCACUGCACAGGAUCAAUACACAUUCGGUUUAAAAUUAGUUUUUCAAUGAUGAUGAGGGAUAUUAUUAUCCAUGUAUUGCACGCCAGUUGCACCAUAUGUCCAUAUCCAAUCCUACUUUAAUUUUAUAUAUGGAAUCACUCUCCAGCCUCGCCAUACAACGUCAAAGAAUUGUAGAGUGUGUGGCCUUCGACGUGACCGAGAUUAUUUGCAGGAAUUAUGUUACAAGUAACCUGCCAUAACUGCCUAAGAUUUGAUUCUAUAAUGGUAUGCUACUCGUGUUAACCGAUGCCUUCCAUUCCUCCAUGAUUCGCGCGGUACCCAUGUGACACGACGGACCUCGCGAGCUCCUCUAAUAACGCGGGUCAGGUGUAGGCGUGUAGCGACCAUCCAUGCCGCGGCCGGCCGGCCGGCCGGCGGAUUGGUAGUUCAAGCGUCCCCAUUUCCCUGUCCUGUGCCUGCCUAUAAAUACGACACCAGCAAUGUCCUCCACCUCACACCAUCGAAACACAAACCAGGCAGCAGCGAACUGCCAAGCAAAGCCGAGGUCCCUAGGCCACAGCUACUGCAACAAUGGCCACCGCGCUCUCCUUCAAGGCCGCCUUUGCAGUGGCCGCGCUCCUCUCCGUGGUCGCCGUCACCUAUGGCGCUCGCGCCCAGCAGCAGCCCGACCUGCACAACGCCACCGACUCGCAGUCGCAGGACAGAUCCUUGUUGUCCUACAGCAGUGGCUGGCUGCCGGCCAAGGCCACCUGGUACGGCGCGCCCACCGGCGCCGGCCCCGACGACAACGGUAAGGAUCCGCGCGCACUCCAAGCCAUCCAUCGAUCUCUCCAUGUCUGUAUAUGUUGUCCUCUGCAAUGUGGCCAUGCCUAAAUGUGUCUUGUUUGUCCUCAAU